rnacentral:lncRNA from 1 species
GAGCCAACAAAAUUGCACCCAAUAAGAUACAUCACUUCCACAGACUUCAGUUGACUGAUUGAAUGUGGUUCCAAAUGUAUUGAAAUCCGUGUCAGUGACAGAUCCAAAUGCGAAAUAGCAUUGCUCAAAUUGUAUGGCGGAAAAGAGCCAGUGAGUUCUCUGUUGCUCGAUAAAUCGAGCGAUUGAAGGUUUGAUCGGCGAAAGAAAUUAUCAGGGAGUUCCCCUUGCAAUCCACAAUACCAGAGUCGGAGAGAUGACAAAGAAGAAGACAAGUUCAUCAAGGAACUGGGUACCACCAAAGACAUGUUCACUACACCCAAGUAGAGUUCUCUCAGCUGGGUAAGGUUGUGAGCAAGCUUGUUGAAAGAAAUCGGUUCCAGCAUCAGCUCCUCAGAGUUGGAAGAGAGAUCAAGUGACACCAAUCUGGAUAAAUGGGAGAUUUCUGGGGGAACUUGGCCUGCAAAAUUUGAUGAAUUUAGAUUUAAAUGCGUCAAAUGCAAGAACUGACCAAACGAAGAUGAAAUGACAGAGCGAUUGAAGUCAUUGUGAGAGAGAUCGAGCUUUUGAAGAUGAUGAAGGGAGAAGAGAGUGCUGUUAGAAUGGAGGGUGCCAUAAAGCAUGCUGCAACCAAGGUCUAGGCCAAUUACAUGGCCAGUUUUCAUGUUGCAAGUCACGCCAUCCCAAGAGCAGCAAUCUGUACCCUCUUUCCACAGCACUUUCUUGGGUGGAUAACAUGAAAAUCCAUAUGGAGAAGAAGACAUGGAAAAGGAAUUUUUGAAUUGGAGCAAAGCCAGGCUCUGGUCACCGGGGCAUAAUUGUACUGAAGAGGAGAAAUUGGAAGAAGAAUGAGCAGGUUGGGAGUGGGAAUGGAAGAAAAGGAGGCAGAGAAAUUGAGCGAGCAAAAAUGAAGGUCCCAUCAUUCCCUAAAAGUGCUCUUCUUAGAGAUUAAAACGUGGACAGUUAACUUAGAUUGAUGGUAGACUUCUAUUAGAAUGUAGUCUAUAUAUAGAGAUCGACUUCUCCGGAAUGCAUAAUUUCCCCUUUCCUCGUUGUUUCUAAAAUUAUUUAAAAAAGAAAUCAUAUAAAUAUAUUAUCAAAUUUCUGAUGGGAGAACAAAAGUCUAGCCAGAAUAAAAUUGAAAGCAGAUUCCUUCACUGCUGCAAAACAGACUAAAAACGAAAUGGAAUUUGAAAUGUUGCAGUAUCCACUAAAACCUCAGUUCAGCUAAUUCGGAAACCAAUAGCAAAAAUAGACUGGCCAACAAAGUUUGCCAUUGUUAUUCGCAAACUACAAUAUUUGGAUUAAAGAAAAAAAUAAUAAUAAAUUCAUAAAUAGCAAUUGAAAAUUCAUAAAAUUAAGUCCCUUAUUUUGUUGUUGAAUAGUGAAAUGGAUAUUCAUUUUGUCGCGUAAAAUAUAACACGUCUAUAUUAGAUAUGCUAAGUCAUUAUUCUAAAUUUAAAUUAUAUUAUAUACAUGAUUUUUUGUAUCUCAAUAAAAACAUGCAAUGAACAUAAGGUUUUAUACCAAUAAAUGACUAGGAAUAACCUUUAUUUAUAUAAUAAAUUUUGAUAUCCGAUAAUAACUAACAAGAAAAUAAUAAUUGACUCGUGCACAUAAGCAUAAGAUUGAGCUGAGCAAAAUUUUUUUUUUCUAAUUGCCUCUACUACUUGUGAGACAAUGCAUGUUCUUUCUGAACCUUUAACUAUAACAAUAAUUUUUUUUUGCCCUUAAAUUGUAAUCUAAUUGCCUCUCCUACGCGCAAGGCAAUACAUGUACUUUAUGAACUUUUUAUCUCUAACAAUAAUUUUUUUUUUGCCUUUAAAUUGAAAAUGUAAUUUUUUAAAUACUUCAAAUUAAUUUUUAAACAAUCACAAAAUCCUAACAACUCUUUUAUUUUAAAUUUUUUUUUAACAGUUUUAACUCUUUAAUUUCCUAACUGCUCUUUUAUUUUUUAAAUUAUUAUAACAACUCUUUAAUUUUCUAAUUUAUUUCUUGACUAACUAGUACAUGCUAAUAGCCUAUAUAUACCAUGCACUUUUACAAUCAAGGUAUACUGAAAACACCAUAGUAUUUUUUUUGUGUUUGCAAAGCUUGAUGGUAUUUUCUUUCGAUCUUGGUCUAGUUAUUUAUGUAACCCUUGUUUUAGAGGAGAAAUUUGUUGAAUCAUGAAGAAUGACCUAGAGAAAAAAAAUUUUAAGGACAUUCUUGGUAUACGUCUCAGAUUUUAUUUUGUUUUUGUUUUUCAUUGGAUUUUCUUACAAAAGGUGGAAGAUUUGGUUUUUUUUUUUUUAUUUGAGAAUUGAGAUUUUUGAAUUUAUACUUAACCAGAAAAAAAUGUUUGGCCACCCAGAUGAUUGUAAGAUGGAAGACUUGUCAGUAUGGCUUUCCCUGGUCUUCUCUCCAAAUACAGCGCAACUUGACUUGAUAUUCAUGGAUAGUAAAGUUAUGUAGGUCCAGUAUUUGAUUAGCAUAGACUGGAACAGUAAGUUUUUGACUGGAAAAAUGGUUAUGUAGGUCCAGUAUUUAAUUCCAUCAAUAUUGACUGGACCAUAAUGAACUAGGAACCCCUUGCACACGGUGUUUAUUAAAAGAUUAAUCAAAAUGGUAAAACUAGACAAAGCUAUACAUAUUUCCACCUUGGACUUGUCUGAAUUGGGCACCACUAGACUUGGUGAAAAUGUCAAUUUUGAAAAUUAGUACUGCCGUGUUUCCAACGCUCAGUCUUGUGUGGAAAUAUUUGCAAGUAAACCUUCAAUUCCAUAUUCAGCAAGAACCCUCAAACUCCAAUCUCCAUUUUUUGUCAGUUUUCUAGUAACUGUUCAAUAAAGCUGUUGCCAGAACGUGUUGACUGGUUUACAACUUGUGUUAAUGACUUAAGGGACCUCUCCUCGUGUGGAAAUAUACGCUGAAAGGAUUUAUGAAGUGAUGGUGAUAUCAUGGAACUGUACAUAUUUCCUACCUUACUUCAUCUAGGCAGCCAACUGGAGCAAAUGCCUGUGUGCAGAAGAAGCAAGCAACAACUGCAAGUUCUUGCAGUGCUAAAGUGGUAGUACGUAUUUGAUCAUGGAGGGCAGGGUAUUGUUGAACGCAGAAGUCUUCCCAAUUCCCAUUCCAUAAAUAGAUCGAAUGGUGAAAUGUAAUUGGUAAUUCCUGCUUGGAUAAGAUAAAAUUUUAGGGCUACAUUGGAUCAGCAUAUAAACCCUCUUCGAUCGUGCAGUUAAUCAUAACAUAUUUUCAUGCAGUAAUGGGGUUGCUGAUAUAUACUCUCGAUCCCUUGUUUAUGGAGGUAUUUUUUUGCUUCGGUUCUAAUAUAAACAGAUGUCAUCAGACUUGCUACAAAAAUGUCAAAUUUAGAAAUUAAUAUCACCGUUGUUACAACGCUCACUCUUAUGCGAAAAUAUUUGCAAGUGAACCUUCAAUUCAAUAUUCAACACCAAAUGAAGAUCGAUUCUCCCUUGUUGAUGCUGAAAGAGAGAGACCUCUCCUCGUGUGGAAAUAUUACUUAGUCUUGCUGUACAGCUGCGGAUUGAAGAUAACUUUGUUUAUCAAUUUUUUUUUAAAAUUUGCUUCAUUUAUAGUUUUUUUUUUUUGUUUAUUUGAAUUAAAGUCAUCUUAUCCAACCUAGUAAAGUCUAUAAGACAAGUUACAUAUUUCUUUUGUCUUUUAAAACAUGAUUAUGGUAGUUGAACAUUAUUUUUUACAUAAAAUAAAAUAGUCUAGCCCCAUGGCAAAGUGCAUGCUCCAAUUAUAGUUAACAUAUACUUAAAGGACUUGACUUUUCAAUGUAUAAAUGAAUAAUAAAAUGUUAAGCCCUUUUAACCUUGGUCCUCGAGACUUUUUAGGCCUUUUUAAAAAAAAAUUAAUUUUAUUUUUUUCUUUCAAUUUCAGAGAUACUAGAUUUCAUAAUUUGUUUUGAUUUAUUUUUUAUAAAGUUAUUCCGAUCUUAUAACCCAGGUUAUGAUGAGUUUUGUAAGUUAGUCGUGUUGACUCAUGUUGUUUUUUUUAUUUUUUAAUUAUUUUUUUAACUUCAUCAUUUAAAAUUGGGUUGAUUGAGAAUUUAUUUUUAUAUUUUUUUUAUUUGAUUUCUAUAGGAUUAUCAUGGUCUCAUGACUUAGAUUGUGAAUUUUGCAAGUUAGCUAUGUUAAUUUAGAUCUUUUUUCCUUUUUAAAUUAAAUAAUUUAUUUUUCAAUUUCAUCAUUCAAUAUUGGCUAUUAAACCUUUAUAAUCUAGCACAAGAAUAUUCAAUUACAUUUUUACUACCCUUAAACACCUUGAAAUCAUAUAAUUGUUAUCUUGGGGAAGACUUGGUGGUGUUAUAUUUAUUUUUCUUUUUAGAAAUGAGAUUUUUGAAUUUAUACUUAACCAGAAAUAAAUGUAUGGCUACGUUCCGUAUUUGACUUAGCAUAGACUGGAAGAUUGAUCCAAAUGCUUGUUUCCCAUCUAUCAUGCAUCAAUUGAUGCUAAUCUAAUUGAAACACUAAGUUUAUGACUGGAAAAAAUGGUUAUUCAAUCCAUCUGAUUUGGUGGGUCAAUCUAGUGUUAUUAGGGUUUUUUUAAUUUUUUUUCUAUUUAAAUUAUUAUUAUAAUCAUUUUGGUGAAUGGAUACAUAAAAAAAUAAAAUUAAAUAUUUUAAAAAAAAAUUAUAUUUACAUUUUUUUAUUUUUAAGAGUUUUGACUUGCAACAAAUUAACCUCUUAUCAUUUGUUUUUGCCUAUGUUAUGAUUUAAAAAAAACAAUUAAGAUAUUUUUCAUUAAUAAUUCAUGUGGAUUAUUAUUAAAAAACAAAUACUUAAAUGAUUCAUGAUUUGGAACAAUUUAAACUUAAAGAAAUUAAUUAAACUUCAUAAAAAAAAUUAAUCUUUUAAUAAUUUUUCUUCAAACUCAUCCUAGAUUUUCUAACUGUGUACUUGAGGCUCUCAAAUAUUUUGUUUUUGAAUUAUCAUUAACUUGCUAUCGAAAAGUUCCUUUGAUAAAUAGUCCUUUGCAAAUGAACGAGUGUCUAAUUUACCGCCCACAUUUAAUUAAAUAAAUUUGUAAGACAUGAUAUUUUCAAGAUAGAAAUUAAUGCUUAACUUAUAAUGGAUUUAAUAGCACGAGCUAAAAAUAUUUUUUUAAUAGAUGGAGUAAAUUAAGAUAUUCAUCUAAAAUAUUUUAGGUUGAAUAAUUUUCUUGCAGAAUAUUUCAUAAAAAAAUACAAAAUAAUUUUUUUAAAAUUUUUAUGCAAAACAAAUAAGACUAUGUUAGCCUCAUCACAUUUUAUUAAACUAAACUUGUAGGACACUUCAUUUUUUGUCCAGAUGGAAAUUAAGACAUGCCAGACCCAUAAGCUGGACUUUGGUUGCCAAAGACUUCGCUACAAUUUCUCGAUUAUCAUCUAGACUUGGUGCGUUUAAUUUCCAGGAUUGAGAUGUUUUGACGACUUUAAAAAGCUUUGACGUGUUCAUCACUCGUUUCUAGCUAUGUUUAUUAUUUUCCAGGAUUAGAUUUUGAGACUUGCUAAUAUUAUGAAGGGUUUGGAACUGUGUUUUAGAAAAAUCCUGAUUUUUUUAAGUUUUGAAUUAUAAUAAUUUUCUAUUUUUAUAUUGUUUUGAUGUAUUAAUGUUCAAAAAUAUUAAAAAUAAAAAAUAUAUUAUUUUAAUAAUUUUUCAAGCCAAAAUACAUUUAGAAAAACAACAUCUACUACACUUUGAAAUAUCUAUCUUUGUAAAUUUGGUGACUAUUCAGUCCAGAGGAAAGUAUCAAUCAAUCCCUAUAAUCGUAAAGAUAUUCGAGAUUAUAAAAGCUCUAUCUCGGCACUUAAAUGGAAGAAUAUUAUUAUCCAAGUCCAUAUCAUAUGUUUUUUAAGUGCUGAAGGAAAUGCAUCAAUUAGUUAUUAGUUGGUUAUUAGGAGCAUACUAAUCCAAGUCGAUAAAUAAUUUUCAAAUUAGUGGAUGGCCCAAAAGUUUUGGGUUUCCGUCCAUCCCAUUUGGAGUCCAAAACCAUGUCUGGAUAUUACAAAGAAACAGAAAACGAAAGUCUCUUAAUGACUUGUUAAAAAGCCAACCUUAACUUUUCUUAGUAAUUGGCAAGCUAUAAAACCUCAAGAAAGAGAGAGUUUGGCUACGAGAGAAAGUUUAAAUCUUACCUUUUCUGCCUUAAUCAUCAGUGAUUGAAGAUCUAAAAAGGAUAAACUUUUAGUAUGUUAUUCUUGUUUGGUUUCUGAAACAUAUACGCACAGGGAAAAUAGUAACUUUUAAAUUUUUUUGGAAGUUUCAAAAAUUCUUAUUAGAAAAAUAUAGAGUUGUUAAAAGUUUAUGCCAAGAUUACUUAAAGAUCUGAAUUUCUUUUGACUUGGAAUAUAUGUUUUAAAGUUGGGUUAUCGCAAACCAUAAGCUUUCUAGUUGUCUGGCCUCUAAAGUUAAUCCACAUGAACUAUUAGUGAGAAAUAUCUUAAACCCUUUUAAAAGAAAGGUUGGUAUACCUUAGAGAAAGGUUGUUAAAAUCGUGAUUUUAACAUGAUACGGAAAAUGCAAAACAAACUCGGAUCGUAAAUCAUAAGGAAUUUUAAAAUAUAUUAACAAAAAAUAUAUGCUUCAAAUAAAAAUUCAUGCAUAGUUCAAGCCCCUUAAAAUACAUGCUUCAAAUAAAAAUUCAUACAUAGUUCAAGCAUCUUAAAAUAAGUAGUUCAAAUAAAAAUUCAUACAUAAUUUAAAUAACUUUUCAUUAGCUAAUAAUUAACAAACUUAAAACAAACAAUCUGCUGGUGUGUCAUGUAAACUAAAACCAGAUUCAUUGCCUUCAUCUUCCUCAUUAUUCCUUAGACAUUCAUCAAUAUCAUUAGUAUUAAGAGGAUUAUUAGUGUCACUACUGAUACCAACACCAAUAUUAUGAAUAUUAGUGUUACUAUUAGUACCCACACCAAUAUCAUCAAUUUCAAUCUUCAAAUCAUCUUCAGUACCAUGACUCUCCAUUUCAACAUCAUUAGGAAUUUCUUCAUCACUUUCAUCUUCAUUACCAAAAUCAUCAGCUUGCUUUUUGAUUUGAUUAUUAUUCAAUUUCAUAUUGCACAUUACAAAUGCCAAGUCAUUCAUUUUUCUCAGGUGCAAACAAUUUCUUUGUUUUGUAUGAAACUAAAUAAACAAUUCAAAUUUAUAAGAUUUUUUUCAAAUAUUUCAACAUUUAAAAUAAAUAAAAAACUCACCAUUUCAAAAUGCACUCCAAUUACGCUCACAUCUAGAUGAAAUACAAGUCAAGCUUAAAACUCGGAUUGCAAACCUUUGUAAUUCUGAACAUUCAUCAUAAUAGAAAUCCCACCAGUUGGAGUUUUUUUUUUAUCUCUUGCUGUCUUGGUAGCCUCAAAGCCUAACAACCCUUUUGCAUCCUUAAAUGAUUCAAGUUGCAAGUCAAUUUUGCACAUUUCACUUACAUUAGGCACUAUCUUUUCUAAGCAUUGAUAUAAUCCAAUUUUAAUAUUGGCAUUAACCUUAAAAUUGAGAUUAUAAUGAUAAUGAAGAUUCAAAUAAUAAGCUGCUGCAUGUAAGGGCCCGUGGAGUUAAAGUUCUCAUCUUACAUCAACAAUAUUCCAUAUGAGUAUAUAACUAUAUAAAAAAAAACAAUAAAAAUAUCAUUACAAUCUAGUAAUAUCUCAAUUGGAAGUAUCUCUAAAGACAUUCAUAUUAAUAAAUGACAACAUUUGAAAUAAAAAUUAGCAAGAUAUAUAUCUUUUUUUCACAUAACCAAAAUUCACUUAUAUUUUCUUUUUUGACUCAUCCAUUGAUUUAUAUAUAAAACUCAUAGCUUCUCAUUUGAAUUAACUAAUCGAAGAAAUUUAAUUAGAGGAUAUGCUGCCUUAAUACAUAUAGUGACAUCAUGCCAAAACCUACUGUCCAAAACACAAUUUUGAAUUCGUUUCCCUUCCUCUAUUCUUGCAAACCUACAUAAACUCCACUAUUUGUAAGUAAACAUAGUCAUCAACUACAUUUUAUGAUCAUUCAAACAUUCCAGAGUCAAAUUUUUAGACCCGACUCAAUCCAAGGCCCGAGUUUCGGGUUUUGACCAGGUCACUGGGUCGUCCGAGUCAAAUCUUUUUCUUAAAAAAAUCAAAACGAUGUCGUUUUAGUAAAAAUAAAAAAAGUUAACAAGUUGCAACUGGUUUUUUGACCGAAACAACCGGGUCACACCUGAUUUUUUCUUCCCCUGUUUUUUCUUCAACUCGGUCCAAUUCCAGUCCCGAGGCAGACCGAGUUUCAAAACUAUAUCUAGGGGUAUUUUUAUAUUUUUAUUCUGGUUUUUUCAUUAUAAUUAAUUUGAUUGAGGACAAUUAGGUAUUUUUAUUAAAUAUAGAAUAUUAUUUUUUUUAGAAAAAAAGGGGAGGCAUGUGGGAAGAUCCCACGAUCUUCUAGUAAUAUGUGUUGUGGUGUUUGGUGGUCAAACAAUAACUUUCAUGUCAAUUUUCUAAUUGUCUUAGUGACCCUUCCAUUUCUAAACAAUGUGUGUAACUUGAUCACCUUUGAUUUGACAUUAGUAUUCGUUUUUUUGUUAUAAUAGAUUUGAUUGAAGGAUAAAUUUUUACAAGUACUGUUUUCCUUUUUAUUAUCGUUGUCACUUUUUCUUUUUAUAAUCGAUUCCUUUUGAUCAUUUAUUUUUCUAUCAUGUAAUUGAUCAUUUUUCAUGUAGAAAAAAAAAAUCAAUCCAGUCUGUCUGUGAUGAAUAUCGUACAACCUAUCUGAUUAUAGUUUGGAUACAAUAAAACCUUAGAGUGAAUUAUCACACAAGGCCACGUGAAACAUAAAAAAACAGUAAAAUAUUCAGGCAAGUACAAAGAGUAGAUUGGCGCGUGCAAACACUCUCUAGACAUCGGUUUUCUCAAUUUUAUCCUGUGGCUUCCCGCACUCUCUCUUUUAUUACAAUACAGCUCAAGACAGCGAGCCUGGUCUCCAUUUACUUGGACACAAUCGAAAUCCUGCCACGUGUACAUCAUAAAAUAAAAAUUGAUAUGCGCCGCUAAAAAAAUCCCCCAGCCCAAAGGUUCAAACUUUGAGGGAGUCACUGCCUCGCUCACCUGCUUCCUUCUUUACGUGUCCCACCUCCUAACUGUACAAGUCAGCUCUUGUGGCUCCAUUUCAUCCUCUUCUUUUCUCCCAAAAGAUCUCUCUUCGACCUUUAUUUCUUCACUCUUAAGCCUCUCUACUAAAAUAUCUUCAUAUUCUAUCUUUUUGAAAAGAAAUUUCCUGCUCUUGGGAGAGAGAUAUUGGAUUGAGGUUCUCCUUGCAGAGAGAGAGAGAGAGAGGGAGACACGAACUGGGUUUCACUUUAAGGCAGAAAGGUCAGAUUCGAGGUUUGAAAAGGCAAAAAGAGAGGGUUCUUUUUUCUAUUUUUUCAGAAAGAAGAGAGAAGAAGAUAGGAUUUUCAGAGAGAGAGAUAAGUUUAAGGUUGUAGAAGAAGAUAAACUAUUGUGGUUGCGUGUGGGUUUUUUUUUUUUUUUUGUGGGGAUAGUGAAACAGAGAAAUCCAAAGAAGAUUGGGAGCUCUUAGAGAAAAUUGGAAAGAGAGAGAGAUAGCUGGGGAAGAUGAAGAUACAGUGCAACGUCUGUGAGGCAGCGGAGGCGAACGUGCUAUGUUGUGCGGACGAGGCGGCGUUGUGUUGGACAUGUGACGAGAAGGUUCAUGCAGCUAACAAGCUUGCUAGUAAGCAUCAGAGGGUUCCACUUUCUACUUCUUCUCCUCAGAUGCCUAAAUGUGAUAUUUGUCAGGUAAUUAUUUUAUUUUUCCACCUGUUUAAUUAUUUUUAACUUGAUGAUGUUAUUGAGUUUCUAUUAUUAAUAAGAUUUUUUAUUUGAUGUAUCAUGUACUAGUUGUGGUUAUUGGCUUCUGGAGAAUGGUUUUAGAUUUUGUUUUGUAGUUUGUCAAUAGGGAGGGAAAAGAUUUAAACUUGUUCUUACUGAAUUAGCUAUUAGUAAUUAGGAUGAAUGUAUGCCUACAUCUUCUUUUUAUAAUUUUAAUUAAUUGCGGACUCAACAUGAUUCUGGGUUUAGUGUGAUAUCACGGUCUCUGAUAUCUUUUUAAUGACUUGGUGUCAUAAGGUUAUUGUUUAGUAUCCAACCUAUAAGUUGAGGGUAAUGGGAUUAGCUUCUCUUUCCUUGGAAUUAUGUAAGCAAAGCAUUCCCCUUCCAAACGAGUGAAUAAAUAAACAACUCCCAGCUCUGAACCUCUGCUGUUAAAUUGAAGAAACUAGGUUGGUUUUUUGUAUUCUUACACAAGCCAUUGCCAAAACAUUCGGUGUUUCUUUUUGUGUCCUAGGGAAUUUAAUAUAGUCUCUAUCUGGAUGAAGCAGAGUAUGAUAGUUAGAUGUGAAUAAGAGUGAUAACUGCUGGUUUUUCAAGGCCACAUUUGAGGUGCAUUAAUGUUAAGGAAGACCGGAUUUGACAAAUAUUUUGAGCGAAAAAGGUAAACCAAGACAAUCAAGAAGAAAAGGGAAGAAAGCGUUCUUUUGGUUUGGCAACAAGUUUGAAAACUGUUAUAUGAGAGGUCCAACCACGCCAAUUGCGUUUGAUUAACAAAAACAUCAGGAAUUGGACCAAUAAAAUUAUUGUAUCCAAGAUCCAGGUACCCGAGAUGCUUAAGUUUUUCAAACGAGAAAGGAAUUUGACCACCCAACUGGUUACCUGCAAGUCUCAACUCAAUGAGUUGAGUGAGGUUACCAAGUAGACCAAGAUUCGAGCCAACAAAAUUGCACCCAUUAAGAUCCAAAUGCGAAAGAGCAUUGCUCAAAUUGUAUGGCGGAAAAGAGCCAGUGAGUCCUUCGUUACUCCUUAAAUAGAGCGAUUGAAGGUUUGAUAGGCGAGAGAAAUUAUCAGGGAGUUCCCCUUUCAAACCACGAUCCCCGAGUUGGAGAGACUUUCCCUGGACUCCUCUCCAAAUACAACGACGUCGCAACUUGACUUGAUAUUUUAACUGGCACGAGAGAAUGGAGCUGAUAGCUACGUUCCGGAAUGCAUAUUUCCCCUUUCCUCGUUGUUUCUAAAAUUAUUUAAAUAACCAAUUUUAUAUGUACUAAUACUUGCACUCAAUUUGUCCUACUAAAUAUUAAUACUAUAGCACUGUGAAGAGAUCUUUGAUUUUUAAUCUCUUUCGAUUUUAUAAACUCUGAUUUUUUACGUUUUGCUAAUCAAAACGUUCUCUUGAAGUUUUCACAUUCUCGCCUAUUACAACUUUCAAAACUCCAUUCUUAAUUCUAAUUCUAAAAAAAUUUAAUUUCUUUUUCAAAUUAAUUUUUUUAUAUUUUUAAAUUAUUUUAAUAGCUGAUGUCAAAAAUAAAAUUUAAAAAAUAAAAAAUAUAUUAUUUUAAUAUUUUCAUCACUGAAUGCUUUAUGCAUAUAAUUUCCAAGAUAUUUUAUAUGUACGCCGUUGAAACCUAGCCCACCUCAAUUAUGACGACUUCAAAAACUUUUGAUAUGUUCAAGGAUAGUAAGGUCGUGGAGGUCCAGUAUUUGGCUACUGAUGUGUACUUGGCAAGUAUCAGCCACCAAAUGAUCAUGGAAUGUAAGAACAGUAUGAUAGCUUCGUUCCAUUACUUGCUAUGGAAAAGUUCCUUUGGUAAAUGGUCUUUGCAAAUGAAUGAGUGUCUGAUUUCCCACCACAUUUAAUUAAAUAAUUUUGUAGGAUUAUCAUCCAUUAUUUUCUAGAUAGCAUUGGUUGCCAAAGACUUGGCUACAAUUUCUCGAUUAUCAUCCAUCAAGUGAUGGUGAUAUCGUGAAACUAUAUAUUUGCAAGUGAACCUUCAGUUCCAUAUUCAGCACCACAUGAAGAGUGGACACUAUCUAUACGUGCAUCCAAAUUCCGAAGACUUGGAGGUCAAUAAUGCUAUUGCCAGAAGAACGUGUUGACUGGUUUACAACUUGUGUUAGUGACUUAAGGGACCUCUCCUCGUGUGGAAAUAUUCGCUGAAAGGAUUUAUUGGUUGCUGUACAGCUGCGGAUUCGACACAAGAAGGUGAAGACGACUUCAAUUGUUUUUUAUUUCAAUCAUGUAUACAUUAUCCAUAGUUUAAAUUAUUUUUUAUUUAAAAUAGAAAAGGGAAAAAUCAAAGUAAAUCAAUCGAAGGAACGGAUUUUUUUUUUUUUUAGAAAUGAGAUUUUUGAAUUUAUACUUAACCAGAAAAAAAUGUUUGGCCACCUGAUAUUAAGGUGGAAGACUGAUCAUGGAAUGUAAGAACAGUAUGAUAGCUUCGUUCCAUUACUUGCUAUGGAAAAGUUCCUUUGGUAAAUGGUCUUUGCAAAUGAAUGAGUGUCUGAUUUCCCACCACAUUUAAUUAAAUAAUUUUGUAGCACACGUGAUAUUUUCUAGAUAGCAUUGGCUACCAAAGACUUCGCUACAAUUUCUCGGUUAUCAUCCAUCAAGUGAUGGUGAUAUCGUGGAACUGUAUAUUAUUUCCCACGAUACCAUCACUUGAUGGAUGAUAAUCGAGAAAUUGUUUUUGCCUUCCUUAGAAAAUUGCUUGCGCUCCAUGAUAGUGGACAACCGGCAGAGAAAAAAAUGAGGCAAGAAACAGAGGCAGAGAGCUCUGAUAUUAUGUAAAACGGAGAAAGAAAAGAUUUGCCAGAAAAGUUAUUUUCAUUGAAUCUGUUGCUGCCGCUAUAUACAUGUAUUUUCCUAUAAUUGUGCUUAGCUAUUUUUGGAAUAAGAAUUACAAUAGGGAUAGAUACCCUUGACAGCUUAUUUUUACAUAUUUUUUUCCUAAUCCAUUACGUAACCAUGAGAAAUUGUUGAUCCUUUCUUAACAGAAGCCCCCAGCAACGUACACUUCCCAUCAGACGAGCUGCAAAGGAAGAUCACAAACUGUAUCUAUUAGCACAUAUUCAUUGCUAUUUUCUAAGCUAUGAAAUGCUUCUUCUUCUGAGAAACAUAUAAAUUGCUUAACCCUUCAAGUAAGCUGUCCCCUGUUCUUGUUAAUAAUAGCAAUAAGAAUCAUUAGUAUUAAGUUUGUAAGCCAGCAAGGAAUAGCAGCGGGGUAGAUGUCCCCGAGAACAGCUGCCAUCAGACGAGCUACAGAGAAAGUUGUAAUUAGAGCAUGAAAUGUAUCUAUCCCCGAGAACAGUUGCCAUCAGACUUGCAGCAAAAAUGUCAAUUUUGGAAAUUAGUACUGCCGUGUUUCCAACGCUCAGUCUUGUAUGGAAAUAUUUGCAAGUAAAUCUUUAGUUCCAUAUUCAACACCACAUGAAAAGUGGACACUAUCUAUACGUACAUCCAAGUUCCGAAGACUUGGACAGACCAAAUGAAGAUUGGUUCUCCCUUGAUGUUGAAAGAGAGAGAGACCUCUUAGGACGACCAAUCCCACAGUAUCUUGAGGGCAAGAACCCAAUCUCCAUUGUUUGUCAGUUUUGUAGUAACUGUUCAAUAAAGCUAUUGCCAGAACGUGUUGACUGGUUACAAUUGUGUUAGUGACUAAGGGACCUCUCCUCGUGUGGAAAUAUUCGCUGAAAGGAUUUAUUGGUUGCUGUACAGCUGCGAUUCGACACAAGAAGGUUAAGACGACUUUGUUUAUCAAUUGUUUUUUAUUUCAAUUACGUAUACAUUAUCCAUAGUUUAAAUUAUUUUUUAUUUAAAACAGAAAAGGGAAAAAUCAAAGUAAAUCAAUUGAAGGAAUGGAAAGAAUUUUUUAAAAACAAAAUAUUACUAAUCAAGGUGCAUACAUUAUUUCCAUUGGUUUUUAUUCUUACUUUAUUUUUUUUUAAAUCCUGGAAAAGGUAUUAAUUACUCAUAUUAUAGGUAUACAAAAAUAAUAAUAGUAUUCAAAAUAUUACUUUAUUUUUUUUUAUUUAAGAUGUUUUUGAUGUACACAAAAAUGUUUUUCGAAUAUGCUAGUUUCAUUUAUAGGUCGUAGAAAAUUGAUAAAAUUUUUUGAAUUUGUCUUAUUUUUUUUAAUUCAAAUUAAUAUUUCUUGAUAUUUUUGCAUUAUUUUGAUGUGAUGAUAUAACAAAUCAAUCUUAAAAAAUAAAAACAUAUUAUCUUAAUAUAUAUAUUUUUUUUAAAUAAUCAUUACGUAAUAAUAUAAUAAUUAGCAUAGUGGCCCGCGCUCCACAGCGAGUCAAUAACAAUUUUUUUUUUAAAAUAUAAAAAUACUUGAGUUGAUAAAAAUACUUGAGUUGAGUUAAAAGCAUGAAAUGUAUUUACAUCAUCAUCAUUGUCGCACGUCAAAAACAAAUCCCGCGCGGCAUCGGUUGUCGAUUUUUAUCUCGUUGUUAUUGCGUUUGCUUUGAUUGGUUCGUUGGAGUCGCCACCUAGUAAUUUAUUGAUAGCUACUAGGAAACCGGAUGUACUGGUCUUGUCAGAGAUUCGUGGGUAAGGGACUGGUUGUGGUUAGGGAAGGUAUUAUCACCCCUAACACACCCUACCUGAGGUAAGCUGCUUCGCGAAUUUUGAUGUGUUAACGAAGUUUUAAUAAUUGUCUUUUCAUCGGAAAUUAGAAAUAUCACUUAUGUAUAAGUUAAUAAUUCUUAACCGUGAUCCGAUCAAAAUAUUAAAUUCUUCUUUAAUAUAUUUGCAAUUUUAUCAUUAAAAAAUAUAUACAAAUAAAUAAACAAAAUACAAACACCCGCCUCCUCUUUUACUAUAUUUUUCUUUUCUUUUCUUUUCUUUUUUUUUUUAUAUUCUUUUCUUUUUGUACAUCCACAUUACAAAUUAUAUAAAAAAAACAAUUCAAAUUAAACAAAAAUUACAUUACAUAAUUUACAAAAUUACAAAGUAGUCCCUAAACUCCAGAAAUUGCAGGUGAGCCCUUCUGCCACCUAAGCAACAGUGGCGGCGCGUCUCCCCAUGCUGGGUUCACGCGCCGCCGUGAAAAACACAGCAACAGGGGGGAUCGACUUCUUCCACUCAUCCUUUCAUCACCGGCGGUGACCUGCAAAGCAAACCUCAACACACAGCAAGCAGUUGAUUUUAAUUUUUGUUUCCUUUGUUUUUGAAAUCUGCUUUGGUUUCUUCUUUUUAGAUCUGCCCCCUCCGUUUCUCUGCCUCCUGUCUUCUCUGUCUCAGGUGACCGGAUUUGCGGUCAGGGCGUUUGUGGCUAACGGUCGGUAGCCUCUCCUGGCGGUAGCAGUGGCGGUUGGGCUUGCUGCUGGUGUCGACCGCUGCUGGGUUCUUCGGUGGAAGAAGGCUGUGAACGGGACUCCUGCUGCUGCUGUGUGGCUUGAUGGUGGGAGAUCGGAGAGCUCGAGAGAGGGGGGUUCUCGGGCGAAGAAGGAGAUGGGGCGAUGGGUGUCAGGGAGAAGAAGAUCGGAUGUGGUGUGGUUGUGGCUGCUGUGUUUUGCGUGAUGUGAGGCUGUGAGCAGCGACUUGGAAGAAAAAAAUUGAAACCGGAGAAAAAGGGGGGGGGGGCGGUGCUGAUGAAGAAGAAGAUGGGAAACAACGGGGUAGAUUGAGGUGAGGGGCUGAAGGUCGGCUGGUUGAGGAGUAAGGGGCAGCGGUUGGUGGCUUUGAAAUGGCCAGCCUCCGGGGAGAAAAAAAAUCAAAGCAAAUGGCCGGCGGCUGGCUGUUUUUGAGAAGAAUAAAAUGGUGAGUAGUGGCUAGACGUUCAAAAAAUUGAAACCGGAGGGGGGCGGCCUCUUUGGGUAGAAUUAGGGAGGUUUUUUUAUUUGUUUAGGGUUAGGGUUUUUUGUAUUUGUCUUCUGGUAAUUUCAAAAUUGCCCCCCUUUUAAAAAUUCAGUGUAGCAUGGUAUUUAUAGGAAAAGUUUUGCUAGGUUUUCAAACUAGUCCCUCAACUUUUCCUUUCCUUCUCUUUUUCUCUUUUUUUUGUAAAUUUUGAUUUUUCUUAUUUUUUUGUAUUUUUUGAAAACGAGUAAUAUCAACGUUGACUCAAUGAGGAAAAUCAAUGAUUUUAAAAAUGACGCGUGAGAAGUCGAACGCGUUUGAAAAUCUUUUGAAAUUUAAAUUAUUUUUUAAACGACACUGAAAAUGCUAAAAUGACGAGAAUAUAUUAAAAACAUAUUUUUUUGGAUUUUCAUUGUUUUUCUCUAUUUUUGGAUUUUUUGAAAAUAUAUAAAAAACAUGGGUCAAAAAUUGGGUAGCAACAAUCAUCUUUAAAUAAAAUAUUUUCUACAGUCGUACCAUAAAUAACGUAUAGCAAAAUAAUGCUCAAUACAUCGGUAACUAAUUUAUUUCCCUUGAAUUUUUUUUCCUUUUAAGAUAUUUUCAAUUUAAUGUUUUUUCCUCUUGAAAUUUUUUUUCUUCUCUUAAGUAAUUUUUUUUUUAAUAAAGUAAAGAGAAAAUAAAUUGAUGAGACUUAUUUUAUAUUGUACAAAAAUUAAUUUAUGAUAAUUUUCUGAUUAAAGCAUGUUUGUUUUUACUUUUCAAAAAUAUUUUAAAAAAUAGAUUUUUAAAAUUUUUUUCUUUAAUUUAAAUUCAUAUUUAUUGAUGUCUUUGUAUUAUUUAUACCUUUUUCAAUAUCCACGUGUUCCUAACAUGUUUUAACAUCGUUGCGAUGUCUAUAACGCACAGUGAACGCCAUUCCAGCUACAAAGAAAGUUCCAACGAGCACACAGACUUGCUGCGCAUCGGUCACAUAGACUGGAUCUCGACAAAAAUGUUAAUUUUGGAAAUUAAUUAAUAUUGCCGUGAUUCCAACACUCUUGUUUGGUCAUCAACUAAUUAAGGACCACAUGAAGAUUGGACAGUAUCUAUAGAUCCAAGUUCCGAAGACUUUUAUGGACCAUUGCCUAUUGCUUUCUGACCUUGAUAUGAAAUAUACACUUCACCACCUCUACUUGAACAGGAGAUCAGUCCCAAUUUUACUGCAAGAUCGGUUAGUACACUACAACAGCUAAGCACUGCACUCCACAUUUUUCUUCGUAUUAACUGUCGCACGUGUGCGGCGGCGCGGCGAUCGUCCACCCUCAAGGAAAAAAAAAAUCGGAAUAUUUAUUCCCGACAAAAAAAGGAGAGACAAGGAUAUUCUUGUCUCUAUAAGUGAAAAUAUGGACUAGGAGUCGCCACCUAGUAUUCUGGUUACUAGGAACCUUAACUGGUCUUUAGAGAUCGGGUACGGAGACUAGUUGCGUAAAGGGAAGGUAUUAGCACCCCAACUACGCCCUACCUAAGGUAGGCUGCAUUGUUUUAAUGUCUGAUAACAUCUAAGGUCGUGUUUUAUUGUUCGGAAUACGCAUUACAUGUAAUGUCAUAUCCCAAGUUCUAUAAAAAAAUAUAUAUAAAAAUUAAAUAAAUAUCCGGAAUAUGUAUUACGUAUAAUGUCAUACCCCGGAUAUUAAAAGAUAAACAAAAUAAAAUUUUUGUUGUUUUUUUGAAAUUUUGGCCAAUAUUCUCUUGACUUUAAUAAACUGGUUAUUAAAGCCAAAAUGCAUGCUAAAACAUUGAUUUUUUUUUUUGUAUGAAAAAUACAAAAUGAUUUUUUUUUGAGACAUUUGGCCGUAUGCACAAAAAAACAUUUUUUUUUAUUUGUUUUUGUAUUCUUGAAAGUCGAAAACCGGGUAUUUCAGUACCGGAUUUGUAUUUUACGACAUAGGAAUAUUGUCCCAUAUUACAUAAAAAUGACAUAAAAAAUACGGGGAAAAAUUAUAAAUAAAACAAGUAUUUUUGAUUUUUUCCUUUUUUAUGGGCCGGAUGAACAGUACCGUAUGAACAGUGGUAAAAUGAUAGAAGAAAAUGUGUCUUUUUUAAAAAAUAAAAAUAUAAAUAAUAACAAACAAAAUAAUAAUAAUAAUAAUAAUAAUAAUAAUAAUAAUAAUAAUAAAAAUAAAUAAAUAAAUAAAAACAUGGGCCGGACCCAGCCCAAAUGCAUGGGCUGGGCCAACCAAGCCCGUUUACAGGGGCUGGGCUGAACGGCCCAGCCCAGGCCCAAAUGGGCUGGUUACUGUGCAUCAGCACAGUAACCAGCCCACGCUGCAUUUUGCAGCAGAACGUGAAUUAUUCACGUUCUGCAUGCAAGUGCAGGCAGGGACAGCGAGGGCGAGAAGAAAAAAAAAAAAGUGAUGGCGAGGGAGCAGGAGGUUACCUGACGCGGUGGAGCUUCCAACUGGAGCGGUGGCCGGCGGUGCUGCUGGUGAUCGAAGGGUGGCAGAGGCGACGAUUUCUUCUCUCUUCUCCCCUGCUUCUUUCUUUCUUCUUCUGUUUCUGUUUUUUUUUUUCUUUUCUUUUCCUCUUCUUCUCUUCUUUCUUCUCUUCUCUUCUCUUCUCUCUUCCCUCUCCCUCCUCUUUUUUUUUUUUUUUUUCUUUCGGUGCCUCCCCUGUUUUUAUAGGCAAAAACAGGGGGUGGUGACUGUUGGGGCGGCCACUGUUGGCCGCCCCUCCACUAUCCAAGUGGCCGAAAAAGUAUGCAAGUGGCUAUUGUGGGCGUCUUUUGAAGGGGGUGAAAGAAGUUCGGCGAAAAGUGGAGAAGACAAAAUCUUCUCCCCUGUUCUCUGCGUGCGCAGGGAAGAAGACAAUGGUGCUCAAAACGGCCCGUUUUGGGUUUUUUUUUUUUUUUUUUUUUUUUUUGCAGCAGUUACAUGAAACGGCGCCGUUUUGGUCAAAACGCGCCGUUUCAUUUAAAAGGAAAAGGCGCCAAAACUUUUCAGAUUCAAAUUUCAGCCCUCAAUUUGCGCGCGUUUGCAAUUUAGUCCUUGGUCUCGGAUUGCUUCAAUUAAGUCCCUAAUUGGCCAUUAAACUUCAAUAUUUAUGCAAUUAAGCCCCUGAUUUUACCAAAUUAACUUCCAAAAAUUAUAAUUUGACCCAGAAAAUUAAUUUCUCCUAAUUAAAGCCCAAAUUAACUCCAAAAUCAAUUUUUCUUGCAAUUAAAAUCUUCAUAAAUGCAAUUAAACCUUUAAUAAAAUUUAAUUGAGUCCAUAAACUUCUGAUUUUGCAUUUUUCUUCCACAAAUUGAAUUUUCUUUAUCAUCAGGGCUCUCAUCGGUCAAUGAUAUACUGUCAAAAAUUAAUUUUUGAUUUUUGAACAUCCUCAAUCAAUUUUUAAGCAUUUUUAGGGCGCUUUGACAUUUUUUCACUGUUCUAUUUUUUGAUAUAUUUUUUUGAAUUUUUUUGUAUUUUAUUAUUUUUUAUGUGGGGACCCAGAAAUGGGUUACAACAUUAACACUAAAAACAAAACGAAGCUGGAUGUUGUAUAUGUAACCGCAGAUUUAUCCAGCAAAAAUCUGUACCAAGGGUUGCAUUAUAGAGGGGUAGAUGUCCCCGAAAACAGCUGCCAUCAGACGAGCUACAAAGGAAGUUGUAAUUAGAGCAUGAACUGCAUCUGUUAGCACAAAGACUUGCUGCAAAAAUGUCAAUUUUAGAAAUUAGUACUGCCGUGUUUUCAACGCUCACUCUUGUAUGGAAAUAUUUGCAAGUAAACCUUCAGUUCCAUAUUCAGCACCACACAAUCUCUAUACAUCCAAGUUCCGAAGACUUGGUGGUCAAGGACAGACCAUGUGAAGAUUAGUUCUCCUUUGUUGAUGCUGGAAGAGAGAGACCUUUUAGGACGACCAGUCCCACAGUUUAUUGAGGGCAAGAACAUUCAAACUCCAGUCUCCUCGUGUGGAAAUAUUCGCUGAAAAGUCUUGCUGUACAGCUGCGAAUUGGACACAAGAAGGUGAAGAUGACUUUGUUUAUCAAUUUUUUUAUUUCAAUUAUGUAUACAUAAUCCCAUAGUUUAAAUUAUUUUUUAUUCAAAAUAGAAAAGGGAGAAAUCGAAGUAUAUCAGUUGAAGGAUUGGAAAGAAUUUUUAAAAAACAAAAUAUUACUAAUCAAGACGUGUACGUUAUUUCCAUCGGUUUUUAUUCUUACUUUAUUUUUAUUUUUAUUUUAAUCCUGGAAAAGGUAUUAUUCAUAUUAUAGGUAUACAAAAAUAAUACUAGUAUUCAAAAUAUUACUUUUUUUUUAUUUAAGAUGUUUUUGAUGUAUACAAAAAUGUUUUUCCAAUAUGCUAGUUUCAUUUAUAGGUCGGGGAAAUUUAUAAGUAGAUAAUUUUAAAUAAAAAUUAUUAGAUCUAGACUAGCGUCCGGAGUUUUCAUAUCUGAUACAAAUCAACCAGCACAGUGACAUGAUAAAAAAUAAAAUAAAAUUGAAAUUGAGAUAAGAAUGACCGAGGGUAUAACGUUAUCAGAACUUCAAUUGUUUUCUUAACAACGUUUGUCUAUUGCCUAAGUAGAGGUAUCUUAGUUGAGAAAUAUGAUGUGCAAGCUAACUAAAUUUGGUGUUUGACCAUAUAUAUAUAUAUAUAUAUAUAUAAAUUUAAACUAGCGUCAAUAGAUAUUUUGUUUUUUCAUAAUAAUUUUUUUGUUAUUAUAAUGUUAGAUGAAAGGAAAUUUGGUGUUUGGCUAUAUAUAAAAAAACUAAUAAACAAUGAAAAUGUACACUGAAAUGACUAAAAUACCCUUCAAAUCAAAUAUUUAAAAAAUGGAAUCAAUGGGCUUUUUUGUCAUUUCACAAUGGUUAUUAUUAUUAUUAUGUCAGCUUAGGGAAAAAUUGGUAUUUUUCUAAAAAAAAAAAAAGGAUAAGCGUGUGUACGAUGUCGCUUAUAUAGAAGGCAAACCCACACUUUGGGCAGCAUGUGCUCCACUUCCUAGUAUAUAAAAAUGCCCUUAUAUAAACUAUUUUGUUAGAAGUGUUGUUGUGUCCUUUUCCCUAUGAAGCGACGCAUGUUGGAGUUGAUGGUCCGGUUUAUUAUUGGUGGACCUUUUUUUCUCCUUUUCUCUUUCAUCCUUAAAACAUUAUAGUUUGGCCCUCAUUAUUGUGGAUAUUUCAACUUCAUUCCUUUUUUUUAUUUGUAUUUUUGUUUUUGGUGUUCUUUUAGAAGUUUUAUUUGUUUUCAAUUUCAUCCUUCAAUCCCAAUUUAUAAAUAUUAUAUUUUUAAAUUUGGUCUUUAUUUUUUGGUUUCUAAUUUUUUUCUUAGCUCUUUUAUAAAAAAAUUAUUUGUUUUUAAUUUCAUCAUUCAAUCAAAAUUGAUAGUAUUAUGCUUUCCAAUUUGGUCUUCAUUGUUUUGAUUUCUAAUUUCUUUAUUGGAACUUUUAGAAAAAUUAUUAUUCUUUUCAAUUUCACCUUUCAAUCAUAUAUUUUUUUAAUUUUUUAUGUUAAUUUUGAUACUCAUUCUUUUAAUUUUUUUGGCCUUUUUUUAAAAUUGAUUGUUUUUUCAAUUUUACUAUUUAAUUAAAUAUAAAAUUUAUUUGGUAUUUGAAUUUUAAUCCAUAUUGUUUUAAUUACUAAUUUUUUGAAUUUUUUGUAUAAUUGAUUUUCAGCACCACGUGAAGAUUGGUUUGUUAGAGAAUAAUAUAAAUCAUAUCUUAGAACCUCAUCCAAUAGCUUAAGCCAUUGGGUUGAGAUGGUUUUUUGACAUGGUAUCAGAGCCUUGAUGACCAAGCGGUCACGAGUUCGAAUCUCACCAUCCCCAUUUAUUUGAUAAAAAUUAAGCACAAGGUAAUGUGGGUCUGUGUAAGUUUCAAGCCCAAAGGGCUUUCACUUGAGGGGGUGUGUUAGAGAAUAAUAUAAAUCAUAUCUUAGAAUCUCAUCUAAUAGCUUAAGCUAUUGGGUUGAGAUGGUUCUUUGACAUGGUUCUUCCUUGUUGAUGCUGGAAGAGAGAGACCUUUAGGACGACCAAUCCCACACUAUCUUGAGGGCAAGAACCUUAAAACCUCAAUCUCCAUUGUUUGUAGGUUUUCUAGUAACUGUUCAAUAAAGCUAUUGCCAGGAGAACGUGUUGACUGGUGUACAAUUAGUCUUGUUGUACAGCUGCGGAUUGAAGAUGAAUUUGUUUAUCAAUUUUUUUUAUUUCAAUUAUGUAUACAUAAUCCCAUAGUUUAAAUUAUUUUUUGUUUAAAAUAGAAAAGGGAAAAAUCAAAGUAUAUCAAUUCAAGGAAUGAAAAGAAUUUUUAAAAAACAAAAUAUUACUAAUCAAGAUGUAUGCAUUAUUUCAAUUGAAAAAAAACAUUUUUUCUUUAGGUUAUCCUAAUCAUUUCUCUUUUUAAAUUUGAUUAAUUUAUAGGUUUUUUUUGUUUAUUUGAAUUAAAGUCAUCUUAUCCAAUCUAGUCAGGUCUAUAACCCGAGUUAUAUAUUUUUUUUGUCUUUUAAAACAUGAUUGUGGUAAUUGAACAUUAUUUUUUACACAAAAUAAAAUAUAGUCCCAUGGCUAAGCGCAGGCUCCAAUUAUAGUUAACAUAUAUUUAAAGGACUUGACUUUGAAUAAUAAAAUGUUAAGCCCUUUUAACCUUGGUGCUCAAGACUUUUUAGGCUUUUAAAAAAAUAUAUAUAUUAAACUUAUUUUUUUCUUUUAAUUUCAUCCUCCAACAUUAGGCUUACAAGGUACUGGAUUUCAUAAUUGUUUUUUAUUUAUUUUAUAAAGUUAUCCUGAUUUUAUGAACCAGGUCAUGACGAGUAUUGCAGUUUAGCCGUGUUGACUCAUGUCAUUUUUUUUUAAUUUUUUAAUUUUUUUUAACUUCAUCAUUUAAAAUUAGGUUGAUUGAGAAUUGAUCUUCAUAUUUUUUUUUAUUUGAUUUCUAUAGGGUUAUCAUGGUCUCAUGACUUAGAUUGUGAAUUUUACAAAUUAGCUAUAUUGACUUAGGUCCUUUUUUCUUUUUAAAUUGAAUAAUUUAUUCAAUUUUAUUAUUCAAUAUUGAUUAUUAAACCUUCAUAAUCUAGCACAAGAAUAUUCAAUCGCGUUUUCACUACACUAAAACACCUUGAAAUCAUAUAAGUGUUAUCUUGGGGAAGACUUGGUAGUUUUAUAUUUAUUUUUCUUUUUAGAAAUGAGAUUUUUGAAUUUAUACUUAACCAGAAAUAAAUGUAUGGCGACCCAGAUGAUCGUAAGGUGGAGAUAUGGCUACGUUCCGUAUUUGACUUAGCAUAGACUGGAAGAUUGAUCCAAAUGCUUGUUUCCCAUCUAUCAUGCAUCAAGUGAUGCUAAUCUAAUUGAAACACUAAGUUUAUGACCGGAAAAAAUUGUUAUUCAAUCCAUCUGAUUUGAGGGGUCAAUCUAGUGUUAUUAGGGUUUUUUAAAAAAAAAAUUUAUAUAAAUUUUUAUUAUAAUCAUUUUGGUGAAUGGAUACAUAAAAAAAUAAAAUUAAGUAUUUUAAUAUUUUUUUUAUGAUCCGUAUUUGACGUGGCAUAGACUGGAGGAUUGAUCCAAAUGCUUGUUCCCCAUCUAUCAUGCAUCAAUUGAUGCUAAUCUAAUUGAAACACUAAGUUUGUGACCAGAAAAAAUGGUUAUUCAAUCAAUCUGAUUUGGUAGGUCAAUCUAGUGUUAUUAGGGUUUUUUAAUUUUUUUUUCUAUAUAAAUUUUUAUUAUAAUCAUUUUGUGAAUGGAUACAUAAAAAAAUCAAAUUAAGUAUUUAAUUUUUUUUUAUGAUCCAUAUUUGACUUAGCAUAGACUGGAAGAUUGAUUCAAAUGCUUGUUUCCCAUCUAUCAUGCAUCAAUCGAUGCUAAUCUAAUUGAAACACUGAGUUUAUGACUGGAAAAAAUGGUUAUUCAAUCCAUCUGAUUUGGUUGGUCACUCUAGUGUUAUUAGGGUUUUUUUUAAUUUUUUUCUAUAUAAAUUAUUAUUAUAAUCAUUUUGGUGAAUGGAUACAUAAAAAAAUAAAAUUAAAUAUUUUAUAUUUUUUUAUAUUUAUAAUUUUUAUUUUUAUUUUUAAGAGUUUUUACAUGCAACAAAUUAACCUCUUAUCAUUUGUUUCUGCUUAUAUCAUGAUUUAAAAAAAAACAAAUUUAAGAUAUUUUUCAUUAAUAAUUUAUGUGGAUUAUUGUUAAAAAAACAAUUACUUAAAUGAUUCAUGAUAUAGGACAAUUUAAACUUAAAGAAAUUGAUUCAACUUCAUAAAAAAAAUUUAAUCUUUUAAUAAUUUUUCUUCAAACUCAUACUAGAUUUUCUAACUGUAUACUUGAGGCUCUCAAAUAUUUUGUUUUUAAAUUAUCAUUAACUUGCUAUCGAAAAGUUCCUUUGGUAAAUAGUCCUUUGCAAAUGAACGAGUGUCUAAUUUACCGCCCACAUUUAAUUAAAUAAAUUUGUAGGACGUGAUAUUUUCAAGAUAGAAAUUAAUGCUUAACUUAUACUGGAUUUAAUAGCACGAGCUAAAAAUAUUUUUUUAAUAGAUGGAGUGAAUUAAGAUAUUCAUCUAAAAUAUUUUAGGUUGAAUAAUUUUCUUGAAGGAUAUUUCAUAAAAAAAUACAAAAUAAUUUUUUUAAAAUAUUUUAUGCAAAACAAAUAAUCUCUUGGACUAUGUUAGCCAUGUAAUGGAAUUCAUAUGGAAGUGAACGAACAACUUAGACAUUAUUUAUGCCUCACCACAUUUGAUUAAACUAGACUUGUAGGACACUUCAUUUUUUGUCCAGAUGGAAAUUAAUACAUGCCAGACCCAUAAGCUGGACUUUGGUUGCCAAAGACUUCGCUACAAUUUCUCGAUUAUCAUCUAGACUUAGUGCGUCUAAUUUCCAGGAUGGAGAUGUUUUGUGCGUAUAUCUCGUUGAAACCAGGGCCACCUCAAUUAUGCGGACUUUAAAAAGUUUUGACGUGUUCAUCACUCGUUUCUAGCUAUGUUUAUUAUUUUCCAGGAUUAGAUUUUGAGACUUGCUAAUAUUAUGAAGGGUUUGGAAUUGUGUUUUAGAAAAAUCCUGAUUUUUUUAAGUUUUGAAUUAUAAUAUUUUUUUAUUUUUAUAUUGUUUUGAUGUAUUGAUGUUCAAAAAUAAAUUUUUUAAAAAAAAUAUAUUAUUUUGAUAUUUUUUCAAACUAGCCAAAAUACAUUUAGAAAAAAAACAUCUACUACACUUUUAAAUAAACAUUAAGCUACAUCUAUCUUUGUAAAUUUGGUGACUAUUCAGUCCAGAGGAAAGUAUCAAUCAAUCCCUAUAAUCGUAAAGAGAUUCGAGAUUAUAAAAGCUCUAUCUCGGCACUUAAAUGGAAGAAUAUUAUAAUCCCUAUAAUCAUAUGUUUUUUAAGUGCUGUAGGAAAUGCAUCAAUUAGUUAUUAGUUGGUUAUUAGGAGCAUACCAAUCCAAGUUGAUAAAUAGUUUUCAAAUUAGUGGAUGGCCCAAAAGUUUUGGUUUCCGUCCAUCCCAUUUGGAGUCCAAAACCAUGUAUGUGGAUAUUACAAAGAAACAGAAAACGAAAGUCUAUUAAUGACUUGUUAAAAAGCCAACCUUAACUUUUCUUAGUAAAUGGCAAGCUAUAAAACCUCAAGAAAAAGAGAGUUUGGCUACGAGGGAAAGUUUAAAUCUUAACCUUUUCUGCCUUAAUCAUCAGUGAUUGAAGAUCUAAAUAGGAUAAACUUUUAGUAUGUUAUUCUUGUUGGGUUUCUGAAACAUAUACAUAUAGGAAAAAUAGAAAAUUUAAAUUUUUUUUAGAAAUCUUAAAAAGUCUCAUUAGAAAAAUCUAAGAUUGUUUAAAGUUUAUGAGAAGAUUACCUGAAGAUUUGAAUUUCUUUCGACUUGGAAUAUAUGCUUUAAGGUUGAGUUAUCGCAAACUACAAACUUUUCAGUUGUCUAGCCUCUAAAGUUAAUCCACACGAACCAUUAGUGAUAAAUCUCUUAAACCUUUUCAGAAGAGAGAUUGUUAUACCUUAAAGUAAUAGCUCUUUUCUUUUAUGUUUUAGGUAUUUCAAUACUAUAUUCUACUCACUUUUUUAACAAUUCACGUGAAAUAAGAGGUAUAUUUUUCUAUUUAUAGGGAAAACUAAAAACCAUAUAAAUUAUAAAAUAUCAAUUUGCCUUUUAAAUAAUAUAUAUAUAUAUAUAUUAUUUUAGACUAAUUUUAGAAAUUUAUUCAAUCAAGUCCCAACUUGAUUUUUUUAGGUCUAGAAUUGUAAUUUCAUGUAUAAAUUACACUUCAGUCAUCAAUUUCUAAAACUUAUUUAUAAUUAAGUCAACUUGAUUAAUCAUAUCAUUUUAAUUUCUAACCAAUGGUGUGAAAUCAUAUUUGUUCAUCAAUAAUGUUCUGAUUUAUACAUUAGUAUGAAAUGUGACUACUAUAUCAAAUCAUAUUUGUUCUCAACAUCAUAGUCAUUAAUUCUUUGAAUAAAAUUUAAAACUCUUUACAAAUCUCAUUCCACCUUAUGCAAGGAUCUAUAAUCAAUAUUAUUUAAGAACAAAUAUAAUAUUUUUUCUAAUUCAUCAAGGAUGAUGAAUUCUUUCUUAAUUACCUAAAUGCCUUCAUUUACUCCAAAUAUCUGCCUGUUUGUUACCCUUUGUUGUAACCCAAUUUUGGAUUCACCAAGAUUUUCUUGAAUGUUAUUUUAUUUCUAUUAUUAUUUAUAAAAAUCCAAAAAAAUUAAGAAAAAGUUUAAAAUUAAAAAAUAUAUUUUUCUCGAGUCAACCGCAUCUUUCCAUCAAAACCAAGUCCACCGGGUCAAACCAUGUCAACCGGGAAAAAAAAAAGAGUUUUCGUGACAUUUCGGGUCAAAACCGUCAUUUUUUAUAAAAACCGAUUUCACCAGGUCAAACCAUGUCGACCAGGGUAAAAAAUGAGUUUUUAUGACGUUUCGGGUCAAAACCGUCAUUUCCGGUCAAAACCGUCAUUUUUUAUCAAAAUUGUGUUAAACGGGUCAAACCAUGUCGACUAGGGUAAAAAAUGAGUUUUUAUGACGUUUCGGGUCAAAACCGUCAUUUUUCAUAAAAACCGAUUUCACCGGGUCAAUACGGGUCAAACCAUGUCGACUAGGGUAAAAAAUGAGUUUUCAUGACGUUUCGGGUCAAAACCGUCAUUUUCGGGUCAAACCAUUAUUUUUCGGUCAAAACCCGGUUCACCAUGUUGAUACCCAUCAAAUAUUUUUUACUUAAUCCUAAUGGAUAAAUUGAAAGCAAAUUCCUUACUUAAUCCUAAUGGAUAAAUUCCUUACUGCUGCAAAACGAAAUGGGAUUUGAAAUGUUGCAGUAUCUACUAAAACCUCAGUUCAGUUAAGUGUAUAUGAGAGUGUGGUAGUAGUUAAUUUUCAAAGUAUUCUUCAUAUCAAAAUACAUUAAAAUAAUUUUUUAUUUUAUUUUUUAAAAAUUAUUUUUGAUAUUAGCAUAUCAAAAUGAUUUGAAAAUAUCAAAAAAAUAUUAAUUUGAAAUAAAAAAAAUAAAAAAUUUUCAAACCUUUUUAAAAACGCUUUCAAAAUACAAUGUUGAACGCAUCAUCGGAGACCAAUAGAGAAAAUAGAUUGGUCAACAAAGUUUGCACUAAUAAGUUGCCGAUCGAGAAACCAGAAGUUGGAAAAAAUUAUAUAUACUCUUGCUAUUAAGAUGUGCUAAAAACAUCAUAGUGUGUUUUGUAUUUGUAAAAUUUGUUCGUAUUUUUUUUUUAUCUUGGUCUAGUUAUUUCUGUAACCCUUAAUUUAGAAGAGAAACCUAUUAAAGCACAAACCACAUUUUCAAAAGCAAAAAAAUACAUGUUUUUUUUGGUUGGAUAAAAAAAAAGAAAACCACACCUCCAAACCAAACACCCUUUUAAAUCCUAAAAGAUAGUUUUGUAUUAAGAAAAUAUCUUUAAGUAAAAAAUACAGGUUUUAUUUAUUUUUUUUCUAUUCAUUAUAUUUUCUUACAACAGGUGGAAGACUUGGUUUUGUUUUUAAAAAAAAAAUUUAGAAAUGAGAUUUUUGAAUUUAUACUUAAUUAGAAAUAUAAAUGUCUGGCCGCCCAGAUGAUUGUCCUACUAAAUAUUAAUACUAUAGCACUGUGAAGAGAUCUUUGAUUUUUAAUCUCUUUCGAUUUUAUAAACUCUGAUUUUUUACGUUUUGCUAAUCAAAACGGUCUCUUGAAGUUUUCACAUUAUCGCCUAUUACAACUUUCAAAACUCCAUUCUUAAUUCUAAUUCUAAAAAAAUUUAAUUUCUUUUUCAAAUUAAUUUUUUUAUAUUUUAAAAUUAUUUUAAUAGCUAAUGUCAAAAAUAAAUUUAAAAAAAUAAAAAAUAUAUUGUUUUAAUAUAAUAUUUUAAAAAAUACAUUAAAAAACAAUUUCUACGCUACUAUCGAACAUAUAAUAUACUUACUUUAAUGUACUUACUGGCAUUCACCUGGAAUUUACUUGUAAUAUCUCUCGUAUCCAAGAUUUUUGAAUUUAUACUUAACCAGAAAAAAUGUUUGUCAAACAGAUGAUUGUAAGGUGGAAGACUUGUUGAUAUCAUUAAUUUGGCUAAAACAAAUUAAUUGGUUAUUUGAUAUCCACCAAAUGAUCAGAGCAGAUUUGACUGGAAAAAAUGGUUAUGCACUUUCCGCAUUUAAUUUCCAGGAUGGAGAUGUUUUAUGCGUAUCUCGUUGAAACCAAGGCCACCUCAAUUAUGACGAUUUCAAAAAGUUUUGACAUGUUAAUCACUCGUUUCUAGCUAUGUUUAUUAUUUUCCAGGAUUAGAUUUUGAGACUUGCCAAUAUUAUGAAGUGGUUGGAAUUGUGGUUGGAUUUUGCUUUGAAAUUUUUUGAUUUUUUUAAGCUUUGAAUUAUUAUAAUUUUUUGUAUCUGUAUUGUUUUGAAAUAUUAAUGUAAAAAAUAAUUUUUUUAAAAUAAAAAGUAUAUUAUUUUGAUAUUUUUCUAAGUAAAAAAACAUUUUAAAAAGCAACAACUACUAUACUUUAAAAUAAACAAACAUUAAAAAUACAUCUAUUUUUAUAAAAUCGAUGACUGUACAGUCUAGAGGAAAGUAUCAAUCAAUCCAUAAAAUCAAAAAGAAAUUCGACAUUAUGUCUUACGUUUUUUAAGUGCUUAAGGAACUGCAUCAAUUAGUUAAAAUAAGAUCCACGCAACCACUUGUUAUUAGUUGGUUAUUAGAAGCAUACUAAUCCAAGUUUACAAAUAGUUUUCAAAUUAUUUGAUCACCCAAAAGUGUUGGGUCUACGUCCAUCCCAUUUGGAGUUUGAAGAAAACAUUAACCCAAAAGCGAUCACGUCCCAAUGCUUUAGUCAAGAUAUAUCUGCCAAGUGAAAUUGAGUUGAAACAUAUUAUGCAGCAAUUAUGCCAGAUUGUAAGUGCUUAUGAAUAAAAUAGCAGUCGAUCUCAAUGUGUUUAGUGCACUCAUGAAAAAUAAGAUUAUCAGCAAUGAGUAAAGCUAAUUGAUUAUCACAGUGCAAAAGCAUUGAUUGAGAAUGAGGCAAAGAUAGAUCAGCAAGCAAACUACAUAACCAUAUCAGCUCACUAAUGGUAGCAGCCAUACAACGAUAUUUUGAUUCUGCAGAGAAACGUGACACUGUGGGUUGCUUCUUGGAUUUUUAAGAUAUAGGAGCAUUACUAAGAAAAGUGUAAUAACAUGUAAUAGAUCGUCAAGUCAUGAGACAACUUGCCUAGUUGAAAUCACAAUAAGCUUUGAUGUGAAAAUCACUAUUUGAAGGAAAAAAAGACCUUAACUAGGAGAACUCUUCCAAUAACGAAGUACAUAAUAGGCAGCAUCAAGAUAUGGAUGACAAGGUUUUUGCAUGAAUUGACUGAGAAGUUGUACUGCAUAAGUGAUAUCAGGCUGAGUAAAAAGUGAAUGAUCAUUGCAUGAUUGUGCAAAGCCAAAUUUCCUCAAUGACAAAGAGAACUUUUCAAACCAUUGAUAAUGAGCCUGUUUCAGCCCAUAUACAAAUAUUUAUGGAGCCGACAUACAUGAGUAUCACCUAGUGAAAGAUAGCUUGGGGGAGGAAACAUGUAGACUUCUUCAUGCAACUCGCCAUGAAGGAAUGCAUAAUUCACAUCUAAUUGAUGUAACUCUUAAUUUUUAGCAACAAUAACAGCCAAGGUUUUGUUUUUUCAAUUGGAAUGGAAUGUUUCAGUUCCGAAGUGUUUCAGUUCCGAACUGUUCAUAUAUAUAUAUAUAUAUAUAUAUAUAUAUUCAACAAACAUAAUUCAAAUUCAAGAUAAAUUAAUUAUAAAUUAUGCAAUACAAACACAAUGCCAAACAAAUAUAAUUUCAAAAUUUAAAAUAUUUCUAAAUAGUCAAGAUUAAAUAGAUCUUUAACUUAAAGUAAUUCAACUUAAAAAAAAUAUCAAAAUAUUAUGAAAGUAAAAUGUUUUAACAAAAAUAUUUUAAAUAUAAAGUUAGGUCAAUGUUAUCAGGUAGCUAAUGGAAUCUAAAGCAUCCCUUGUUUUGCUCAAAUUCAUAUAAACUAUAAACAUGAAAAAAAACAACAUGAAUAUAAACCAUAUAUAUUAGUGAUAAAUCUAAUUUUAAAAAAUUAAUAUCAUUGUUAAUGAAAAUAGUAAUAAUAAUUUUCAAUAUUAUUAUUAAUAUCAUUGCUAUUGAAAAUAGUAAUGAAAAAGAGCUUUUUAUAAUCGGGUGGUUUAGUUAAUGAAAUUGAGCAAGGUUCAAUUUGAUUCAAUAGCUUUUCAAGAGCAGAAUGAAACAUAUGGAAUGAAACCAGAACGUUUCGGGUGGAAUUUAGCCGAAAAAUCCGGAACGGACCGAGAUUUAAAAUGAGAUGAAAUUUGUUCCGUUUUUUGAAUUGGUAUGGAAUGUUUCGGCCAUUCCGGGCGGAACGGAAUGGAAUUGACAACCUUGAUAACAACUAAUAAACAUAUGACAGUGGUUAAUUUUGCAAUAGGCGCAAAGGUUUUGGUAAAAUCCAAACUUUCAAUAUGAGUAUAUCUUUGGCCUAUCAAACACACUUUAUAGCGCUCAAUAGAAUCAUCUGACUUGUAUUUCAUUUUAUAUAUCCAACGAGCACCAACUGGUUUCUUCUUUGAAGGUAAUGGCACUAAACUCCAAGUAUAACUUUCCUUUAGAGAAAAAUCAGCAAAACAUCUAGCUAAUUUUCAGAGCAUGAUUGUAGCCUAAGUCUUAGAGAUUUACAGAUACUGAUAUAUAAGGUAACGGAUAUUCAACUAUAUAAGGUAACAAAUAUGCAAAUAAUAUCUUCAAGAGAGUCCAAAAUCAUGUUUGUUCUCAACAUCAUAGUCAUUAAUUAUUUGAAUAAGAUUUAAAACUCUUUACAAAUCUCAUUCCACCUUGCACAAGGAUCUACAAUCAAUAUUAUUUAAGAACGAAUGAAAUAUUCUAAUUCACCAAGCGUGAUGAACCCUCUAUUGAUUACUUAAAGACCUUCAUAUAGUUUAUGUUAUAUGCAAUAUCUAUCCAUUUGUUACCCUUGAUUAGGACAACAUAUAGCAAUAUCAAAAUAUAACACUUCCUAUAUUAGAUAACUUAAUGUUCUCAAGUUUAAAGAUCACUUACACAACCGUCACAUGAGUCUUUCCAUAGACACAUGUGAUCUCUCCAUAUGAAAUUCUCAUGUGAGUCAAUUCAAUGUACAAGUCAUCUGACAAGUACCUAUAUAUUAGUUCUAGUUACCCUCAUAUCUCAGUUUAUGAGAAUAAUUGUUUCAUUUCAUGAAGAUAAGAACAUAAUGUGUCGCACCCUCACAAGAGCGCGGCAUCGCGACAACCCUCCCUAGGAGUGAGGAAUCAUGUUGGGGUCUUUGUUUUAUGAAUAAGAGAGUUGUCACCUAGUAUUAUGGUCACUAGGAACCCUGAUUGGUCUUUAGAGAUUCUAAGGUAUGGGACUGGUUGCAUAAAGAGAAGGUUUUAGCACCCCUAUUAUGCUCUACCUAAGGUAAGCUGCUUGGUGUUUGGUUUGCAUUAUAAUUGUUAUGGUGUUGAUGUUCUCUAAUCCCAUCAGUUUUCCUAUGAUAAAUGUGUUACGAUGAACAAACUUGGGCUUAAAGUCUAAAAAGAAAGAACCCUUGGCCAAUGUAGAUCAUACCUUAGGUACGUUUACAAAGUACCAAGGAGAACCAAUGCAGAUCUCUUGAAAUCUGUGUUUGAUUCAAACUAAAUUUACAACUCGUGGAUUAGGAGACAACUAAGAUAGAAGUCCAAGGAGAUUCGAUGUGCUUAAAAAUUCAUAUUUCCCUUAGUAUUUCAAGUGUUCGUGAGUCGUAAAUCACAAGGAAGAGAAACAAAAAAAAAAAAAACUAAGUUAGAAAUCUAAGGAAAUUCAAUAUGCUUUAAAAGCCCAUUUUUGCCUUAGUAUUUCAUACUUUCAUGACUCAUAAAACGUAGAACAAAAAUUAAAAUAUCCCCAAUUAUAAGUGAGGUUUCUUUCAAGAACGUGUAAUUAAAUUGUUCUAAAUAAAAUUUUGGGCAUAAAAUGUACCCUUAUGUUAAAAAUGAACAAGUUGUAUUACCCUCAACAAUAUUUUGGUCAUUUACCUUUCAUAGGUUUCUUUUUCCUUAUAUUAUUAAAGGAUAAUGAUUUAUUAUUCCUAGAAAAAUAUUUUUGAUAUUAACCACUUGGGGUUUCUUUAUCCAAAUAUUAACAGUGAAUAAUAGAUGAAUUCCCCCAAAAUAAGAUUUUUAUAUUUUUAGAAUAUUGGCCAACACCCUUUGGAAUUUACAAACAUGUUGUAAAAUCCAAAAUGCAACAAAAUAAUUUUUGUGUUUAAGAAAUCUAUGUUAAAACACACUUUCUUUUAAAUUCUAAAUAUUUGUUUUUUUAAGACAUGUUCAAAAUACGUUAGGAUAUUGGCCGUAUACAACACACAAGAAAAUGUUGUUUUUUUUUUGUUUUUUAGACACACACACACACACACAUAUAUAUAUAUAUAUUUGCAACAUUUUGUAGAAAAUCCAGUAUUUUAAUGUCAUAUUUGUAUUUCUAGAAUAUAAAAAUACAAACCAGAAAAUAAAUACACGAGAACCAACAAUCUCACUCGUUUUGUUUUUUGGAGUUGGGUCCAACAUGGCCCAUGUGGUUGGGCUAAACCUAGCAGGCAUAGCCGGGUCACUUACCCAAACCAGUGACCCGACUGGACACAAGAGGCACGCGUGAGUUUCCUCACGCGUGCAUUUCUCAGUUACUGUUCAAGUGAAUUAUAAUUCACUUGAACAACAAACACAAAGGCAUGCACAAUAACUAUGUAAUUAAAAUGCAAAGUGAAAGGAAUGCAUGGAAACUUACCUGGCACUAAGACGGGCAAGACGAUGACACUGAAGCUUCUGCACACGGCCGGUGGUCACUGGUUUUGGAGAUAAAAAAACAAUGGCCACGUUGGUUUUGGCAUGUUUUUUCUCUUCUACUGAUGCUCUCUCUAGAGAUGGUGAAGAUGAUGGCGAUGAAGGGGUGGUGUGCUGGUUGAAUUGACACCUUUGCCUCUAUGUUUUUUUCUUGCUUUCGACUGUGUUGUUCUAUUGCCUACCUCUUUCUCCCUUCUUCUUUCUGUUUUCUUAUCUUUUCUUUCCCUUUUCUCUGUUAUGUUUUCCUUUUCCUUUCUUUCAUAGUAACGAAAGGAUGAAAUAAAGAAAAAACUCUUUGCUCUCCCCUGUUCUCUGUGUUUUUUCUCUCCUCUCCAUAUCUCUUCUUUUUCGUUUCCCUGCUUUUUUUUUUCAUCCCCCUUUUUGUUUGUUAGGUCAGCAGAGGAGGUAUAUAUAUAGCAUAUACAUAGCUUUGUUUAGGAAAGAUUCAAUGCACUGACCUAGAAUGUAAAUCUCGGUUGAUUUACAAUCAAAUAAAACCAAAAUAUUCUUAUUCAUAUUCUGAUGAUUCCAGUAAUUACUUUCCUCAUUAACACAUCAUCCCAACCAUCUGUGUUAAGGAUAAAAUCCUAGCCAUUAGAUGAAAAUACUCUGUGUUAAGGUUCUUCUCCCUUGUCUCAUUUUCAUUUUUCUUUCCUGUCUUAACAUUUGGCUUGACCUUGAUGAAGAUACUUUGUUCGAUAAAAUGUCAAAGUUGAUAUUAGCGUUUUUUGGAUUGUAUUACUUUCAUUGAGUUUGACUUUACUGUUCAUUUUAGGAAGGCCUAUCACCAUAUUUUUCUCUUACAGAGUCUUCAAGCCAUUGAAAUUGAGAUGUUCAUAACGAAAAUGCCAUAACCAUGUUGAGUCAUGCACUUUUGUAGAGAGACAUGUUUGAACGUUGUCCUCCAUGUAUAGUGGAAACAUGCGAUUGCUUGUCAUUCUUGCUUCAGCAAUUAAGCCUUUCCUUGGAUGAUGAAUUUUACAAUAACCUGCUUGAAUGAUUAUUGUAUAUCCCUUCUCUUGUAAUUGACCCAUGCUAAUAAGCUUACUCUUCAGUUCUGGAAUAUAAAAGACACUAGAAAUUGUUUGCAUUGUGUUGUCUUUCAUAUGAAAUUUGAUAUUCCCCUUCCCCAUGACAUAGAUGCAUGAAUUAUUUCCAAGCUUCAUAGUAUCUUUGUAAGUUUCAUCCAAGUCUGAAAAUAAUGUCUUAUUUCAACACAUGUGAUUGCUACAACCCAAAUCCAAAUACCACUUAUCUGAUUGGAGUUCAUCUUUGUCAAGAUAUGCCAUUAAAAGCAUUUCUUCUUUUGUCUCUACAAGAAUUGCCUUCUCAUCCGUUUAUGUGCAUUCAUAUUGAUAGUGCCCAUAUUUAUGAUAAUGAUAACACUCAACUCUGGACUUGUCAAAUGGUCUCUGGUCAUUUGUGCGUCCUCUGCCUCGACCUCUACUUUCUCGACCCCAACCACGACUUCUACCAUAUCCCUUUGAAAAUUCACUACCAUGCAUUGUCACCUUCAGAACUUGUUCUUCAGGUAAGUUGCUCACCAUUCGCUGCUCAUGCACCAACAACAAGCUCUGCAACUCAUCAAUUGAAACCUCAUCAAUGUCAUGUGCCUCUUCAAUUGAACAGACUACAUAGUUGAAUUUUGCGGACAUUGAUAGAAGUGUUGCUACCCAUUUUUUGACCCAUGUUUUUGAUAUAUUUUCAAAAAAUCCAAAAAAUAGAGAAAAAACAAUGAAAAUCCAAAAAAUAUGUUUUUAAUAUAUUUUCGUCAUUUUAGCAUUUGCAACGUCGUCUGAAAAAGAAUUUAAAUUUUUAAAAGAUUUUCAAACGCGUCCGACUUUUCACGCGUCAUUUUUAAAUCAUUGAUUUUCCUCAUUGAGUCGACGUUGAUAUUGCUCGUUUUCAAAAAAAUACAAAAAAAUAAGUAAAAUCAAAAUUUACAAAAAGAAAGAAGUUGAGGGACCAAGUUGAAAAACCUAGCAAAAGUUUUCCUAUAAAUACCAUGCUACACAGAUUUUUUAGGGGGGGUAAUUUUGAGAACAUCAGAAAAAAUACAAAACCUAAACCUAAACCCAUUUUUUUUAGGGCAGCCUCCAGCCCCCACCGGGGAUUUUUUUUCUCCUCUCUCAAUGGACUGCCAGCCUCUUUUCUCCGUCCAUCACCCACCUCUCCUUCAUUAUUUUUUUGGCAUCUCCCCUGCACAAGCAGCCGCAACCCCCCCACCUUUGAUUUUUCUCUUCUCCCUUAAACCGGCCUAAACAGCAGCCCCCGCUGGAAUCUUCAUCUUCUUCCUCAGCCCUUGCACAGCCCACCGUCCCUCUCCUCUCUCAGCCACAAACCGAACAGCGCCCCCUGGCCUCGUUUGUUCUCCAGCCGCCGCGAGACAAAUCUUCCCCUCUCAGCCGUUUCUUCUCCAACCGGCCGGACACUCUCUCCCUCACUGCAAACUGUCAGCCUUUCCCUCUCCAGCCGCCUCUCACUGGGCAAAGAAACCAGCCGCCCCUCCCAUCUCCUAUUGGUCUCUCCAUCUUCUUGGCAGAGGAAAGAACCAACCGGACCGGCCUCCAUCGAAACCCUUCAGCAACCGGCCCGCCUCCGACUCAAACUCGUGUAGCAAAUCUUGACCGAGAUCCAGCCGCAACGGUGCCGUCCGAAGAUCCAGCAACCAGCAGAGCCACGCCUCCCCCCCUGCGCCUCUGUCAUCAGGCCAUAGAUGCCCUGAACUCAGAGCCAGCGACCGCCUGUAAAGGAGGAGAUCUGCAGUGGAAACAGAUUUGAAUGGAAGGUAGAAGGGAGCCGAUUUGAAAACCAAAUUAAAACAGAUUUGCUUGUUGCGAUUUUUGGGUGAUUUGCAGGUAACGGCGUUGCUCACAGCCGACUGGAGGGUGAAGAGGGAAAGAAGCCAUUACGGAUCUCCCCACGCCUCUGGAUUUCACGGCGGCGCGUGGGAGGACGCGCCGCCACUGUUCAUUCCGUGUCAGAAGGCCUUCAAUGCAAUUUCGGGAGUUUUAUGGACUAUUUUGUAAUUUUGAAAUUAAUUAAUGUAAUGUUUAUUUAUUUGUUUUGAUUUUGAAAUUUGUAUUUGUAUUGUGGAUGUAAAAGAAAAGAAAAAGAAAAGAAACAAAAAAAAUAGUGAAAGUGUAUGUGUUGUUUGUAUUUGUUUUAUUUUUUAUAUAUAUUUUUUUAAUGAUAAAAUUGCAGAUAUUAAAGAAUUAAUUUAAUAUUUUGAUUGGAUCACGGUUAAGAAUUAUUAACUUAUACGUAAGUUAUAUUUCUAAUUUCCGAUGAAAAGAAAAUUAUUAAAACUUCUUUAACACAUCAAAUCCGCGAAGCAGCUUACCUCAAGUAGGGUGCGUUAGGGGUGCUAAUACCUUCCCUAACCACAACCAGUCCCUUACCCACGAAUCUCUGACAAGACCAGUAUAAGUUACUAGGUGGCGACUCCAAAGAACCAAAUCAGCAAAACAACAACGAUAAAAAUCGCCAGCCGAUGUCGCGCGCCGUAUUUUUUUGGGGUGCGACAGAAUGGCGACUCCACUGGGGAAGGUACUGUUUUUGACAUUAUUGGACUAAGCUUUGUGUAUUUGAUGUGUUUAAGCUUUUGCAUUUUCAUCUUUUUUGUUAAUAUUUAUUUCCAUGCAUUUUAUAGAAUUGUCUCAUGCAUCACCUGUAUUUAUUUUUGAAAGAAAACACAAGCUUCUAGGUUAAGUGGGGAAUUAACGAUUUACCCUAAGACUAUUGGUCAGGGUUUAAAUGCGUGAAACACCCAACUCAUAUCUGAGUGCCUGCUUGGUAAUGGUGGGUAUACGUGCCUUAACCAUUCCUUGCAACACCCCCAUACUGUCUUUACGAAGAACGUCACUGGGCAGAUAUGAGACCCUUUUUGAGACCAGAUAGAAAACCUACCCAUGUUCACAUAAUGAAUAGAACAUGUCCUUAGGUUGUAUGUGCUAUCGUUAUUUGCAUAAGGGCAAACUCUUCUUGAAGCAUCUUGAACUCAAGACUUGUGGGUGACACAUUGGCCGUCACUCCGAAAAUUUUCAUUGUAGAGUUUGGGCAAAAAUCACGAUUCUUGUUCCAUCAUACAAGAGUUACGACCAUAUUGUCACCCCUCGAAGGGUGAGUUCGUCAUAUAGAUUACAUGUUCAUACAUUUAUCAUGCAUGAACCGGGUUGAAAGGUAGGUCCCCUGUACAAGUUGUGCUGCACGUGAUUGAAAAAAGAUGAGGGAAAUGAACAAAGGAGUCAGAUAUAGGCUCAUUAUCAGAUUAAGGUUGAGAGCAUCAAGGGCGAAGUAGUUGAACUCAGAUCCGCUCGAACAAGUGUUGAGCAUCAAAUGGAAGGAGAGUGUCUGCACAGUCUUCUGCGGGAACACUGCUUGUUCAUGUCCAAUUGAAGUUGUAUCUCUCCUUUUCAGUCCUGAACAACAGCAACAAUGCCUUCAGUCAUCAACUAAUGACAACUCUGAUUCUUGUCCAGUUGCACUGUUAAGUGUUCAUCGCCUCCACAUCAUCUAAUGGAACCAAACGACUACUAGCCUCCUGUACAUGGUGCAUUAGUCUUCUUUGAAGUUACCCCAAUUAUGAGCUCAAUUCCAUUUCGGCAUCAUAAGAUAUUGGUCUGAAAAACCAUGAUUAAACACUGAACUUCUACGUGGUAGAGCUCUCUUUGUAGAGAUUUAUUUAUGGAUCUGCCAAGGGGAAAUACAAAAGGGGAUAUAUUAAUUUCAGAUGCUUUGAAACUUUUUCCCACUAGUGGCACGAGCAAAACUUUGUAGUAGACAGAGGAGUCAGGCCUGGUCUGAAAAUAUGAGUAGUCAUCGAACUUCAACGUGGCAUAGCUCUCUCUACAAAAAUCUGUGUAUGAUGCUGCAAGUUGAGAGUGCAAGAGGAGAUUUAGUAGACAGAGGAGUCAGGCCUGGUCUGAAAAUAUGAGUAGUCGUCGAACUUCAACGUGGCAGAGCUCUCUCUAUAAAAAUCUAUCUAUGAUGCUGCAAGUUGAGAGUGCAAGAGGGGAUUUACUAAUUGCAUAUGCUACAAAUAUUUCUCUCAUCAGUUUUAGCACGAAGACACUGUAGCAGGUUGAAGAGCCAGACUUAGGUCUCUCGGCAACAAUCUGUUUGUGGAUAUGUAAGUGGGAAAUCCAAGAAGUGAUGCAGUGGUUUCAGAUUGUCCAUAAUUUUCUCCUUCCAGUAUUGGCAUUAAAACGCAAAAGUGGUUGUUUGCUACACCGUUAGUGAGGAAUAAAAGAGGAAAUAAAAGAGUUUAAGAUUCAUCAGGUUUUUGACAAACGUGGGAUUCCACACUCUUUUGUUUUUUAUGCGCUGCCAAGAUUUACCUAGCUAUGGAGGGGUUUCCAACAAUCCUAAAACAACAACAUUGGAAGAUUGACAUGAUGUUGUGAGGAUUGCCGAGGGAAUUGAACAAGUUAUGAAGAGGGGAAAGACUGAAGUUCUGCCAAGAAUUCCAGAACAAUGAUGAGAGAUGAAUCCAAAGAAGACUUUGACGGUGGUAUAUGGUCUAGCCAAGUGUCGUUGUAUCAUCGGCUACUCCAAAUGUCUUUGCCAAAGAUAGACAUUCUUUUUCCAUUUGGGUUUAUUUACCAGAAUCUGCCAAAUUCUAGACUUUUGCUAGACGCCGACAGAUCCCAUGCAACCACCAAUUUCUAGGUGGUAUAAUCCAGAUAAAAGAUGUGAUGUCAUGGUGGGGUCCUCAACCAUUUCAAGUGAACAGUUUCAAGAAUUGCAAGAAUUGAGUCCGAAAGUUAGUGAGCAAGAGACAAGUGGAGUCGGUGAAGGAGGUUGUCAUUGGCUAUAUUGUCCCCUGAACAUCUUCAGAAUGACAUGUUGAUCGAAAGUGCUUGGCAAAACACAGAUAUAGCCAGAACAACUAAUUCAAGAAUGGUGAUGAACGGCCAAUCAUAUUGUUAUGGAAUUUUGCAUUUUAGUUUUGAGAUCACAUCUCAUCCUUCAACGAAACAUGCCUUGCUUUUAUCUCUUUGUUGUUUUGAAAUCAACAGAUGUUUAGCAUUUUUUCUAACAAAAUAUUUUGAUCAAACUCCAACAUGCGAUAAAGGUUAAUCAAUCCUGAUGAUUAAAAGUGUUUUGAUUACAGAAAUGGCUUGAUGCUUAUUGAAAUGACAUGAGGUGACCAAAAAAAUUUUGAGCUCACACACAAAAUUGAACCACACAUCAUAUAGCUAAGUUUUAGCAGUAUGCAUAUUGACAUGUAGUGGAUUCAGUAGCUAUGGACUCGUGAAUUAUUGACUCUUAUAAGUCUAAAUCAUUACACUGGAUGAGGUCAAAAUUUAUCGGUUUUAACUGACUUUGCUUGAAAUGAGAAAAGGCCAUCUUUGAUAUCCCUUCACUUUCUAAAGAUUAUAUCCCUUGUAGUCCCUUUUUUGAGCUGGAUAGAAUAUUUUUCAUAAAAACCCUGAUUAGGAUCACACCCCACACUGGGGGCAAAUGAGAAAUAUUUUGGAGACACUGAUAAAAUCAAUGGAUCAAGGAAGGCUUAGAAUAAAAGUUCAAUGAUUGAGAGAGAGCUAGAAGAAGACACAUAGACUAGGGGCAUAUAAGAAAGUUUUGAGGAAGGCUAUGAUGAAAAAAAAAAAAAAGAAUGAAAAAGAAGUUGAAAUUGCCUUCACUUAAAGACAAGUCAAAGAUAAAGGAAGGAGAACGCCUAUCAAGUCUAUGAAUAGCAAAAGAAAUUUCAAUCAAAGAAAGGCACAACGAAAGUCAAUGCUAGAAAAAAAGACUAAGCUAUAAACGUGACUUUUGGUAUCCAUUAUAAAGCCUAUGAUGUCAUCAGAUGAUUAAGGUUGGUUAUUCAUCAAGGAAAGGGGGAUUUGCAUUGACUUAUGUUAAGAAAAGUCUGAACUGUGAGGUUAACAAGGUUAUAUGUCGUUUCCUCUUAAAGACAACAAUAGAAAAGAGUUGAUGAAUAGUUGAUGUUGAUCCUAGGUCUUUGAAACCCUCAAACACCUUUUGAGCCUUUGAAAUUCCUUUCUUUCAUAGCCAUGAACCAUAGCCUGCAUUACGUGUUUUUAAAAGCCCUUUUUAAUCAAGCAAGCAACUUGAACCGAUAAAUGGCGCUCUCAAAACUUGAAGAGCUUUUCCAUAAGGGUUGUGACUUCAUGAAUUAAGCUAUUGGUUAUUAUGCAUGCUGAUAAAACAAAUAUUGAGAAAAGAAACAACCUUUCUUGAUCAAGCCUGAGCAUCUAGCCAUUUGAAAUUCACAAAAAUAUCACCUCAUCACAAACCAUAAAAAAAAAAGAAGGUAUAGCCAAAAUCAGAGUUUAAAGUGGACAAAAAGAACCAUGGGAAAGACCAUUUUAAUCUUACAACGAGUCGAUUUCUGUUUUCAAAAAUACAAGACAAUCAAAAGACUACAUUGAAUGACGUGUGUUGGAUCUUUGACCAAAGAAGCUUGAAUUUCAAAAAUACUUUUCAAAAACUGAUAUCUCUCUUAUUUCAUUUCAACAAUUAGACUUGAAUAGACAUGACCUUUGAAGUAUGAGAUUUGAUUCUAGAACAAUAAAGAUUGUCAAACAAAGAAGAACAUUUAUUGAAUUUGCGAAAUCCUUGACAUGAAAUGACAUCAACAUUUCUCGACACUCCUUGAAGUUGAGCAGCUGGGGGCAAUUCAGUGGACCUUAAGAAGGAAAACAUACAGUAUCCAGAUCAGCUGGGGGCAAAGAAAGAAUCAGAUGAUGAGUCAUCACAGUACAGGAAAGUUAUAUUCAGCAUCUGACAAUGACAAAGGAAAACCUUCUUGAGUAUAAACCGAUGAACGAACCUUCAGAUCAUAUUGGGGGCAAUGUCGUUCAAAGACAAUCCAUGACCUAGUGCACUUCAACAACAAUUGAUGAGUAAUGCUACACUAGGAGGAUAUUUUCAUAUCUUUAUCUUGGUUUAUCAUCUUCAACAUGGCUAUGACUUUAGAUCGAUGUUAUCAUAUAGUUGCAUAUGAAUGAAUGCUGGAAGGAUGCACCCCACCGAGACUGACUAUGGGACCAUUUGUUUUGAAGCUUAAAUGCACACUUCACCGCAUGAAUAUGGGUGAUAAAAUGGAUCAUUGAUGAUGCCAACGCAUUUCUUUUUACGAUCUGAUUUGACAAGCUGAAAGGAAUCCAUAGAGAAGAACAUCGAGCUUACAAUGAUGAGUUUUUUACUGCAAAGCAUGAUAUCCAUGUCUAGAUGACUUGGCUGUUCCGUGAAGGUUGGUGACCACACAUACUUGAAUGGUGUUUCAACCGAAGGCAAGUUCAUGACUGAUUAACAAACUUGAUGGGUGUUGGCAUGAUGCAGACAAUCAAUCAGAGGAUAAUUCUCAGAAGAAGCCAGAGAGAAAAUCCUUCAUGAUGAAUCAAGCAAUACCACACUUGGGGGCAGGGUCAAGCUUGAUGAACGAUGCAAGUAGUAAUUGUCAAAGACAGCCCUAGAUGGGCACUGCAUUUACAGCUGAGUGGAUGGCUAGCACAUGAAUGAGUCAAUGCAUCGGAAGAACAAAGGCACCCUAUGACGAUGGAGCAUCAAAGAGGGGGGGACCUAUAUUUCAAAUCAGGUAAGGAUGCAUGCAUAUCAUCUAAUCUCAAAAAAAAAAAAAAACCAUUUUCACAUAUUUUUGAAUUGUUAUAGGAAAAUCCUUAAUGAGAUCCAGCAAGAUGGUGGAAAGAGAAAGAAGUAUUGUGGUGAUGAUAAUAAAGAAUCGGUUUUGAUCAUGGAAUAAAAGGAUGAUGGGAUGAACCCUACCAUUAGGAAAAUCCCAAAGAAAUGAAUAGAUCAACCUUGCAACCGGGAAGCCUUGAGUUUUCAACCCUUGCAGUCAGGAAACACCGAGUUUUCAAACCCUAUGAUCGGGAAUUAUCAGGAAGCACCAAGUUUUCCAGCCCUUCUUCUUUCAUCCCCUCAGGACUUCGCCAGGUAAGUCCUAUUUUUCAUACUUGUCAUAUCACAUUCUUUCCAUCUGGGUAGGUCGCCCAUCAUAAUAAGACUGUUUUUCACAUUUUUUCCAUCUGGGUAGGUCGCCCAUCAUAAUAAGAUCGUUCUUCACAUUUUUUCCAUCUAGGUAGGUCACCCAUGACAAUGAGACCCCACUUCAUAUUUUUUCCAUUUUGGGUAGGUCACCCAUUACAAUGAGACCGCACUUCACAUUCUUUCUAUUUGGGUAGGUCGCCCAUAACAACGAGACUGCUUUUUCAUAUUUUUUCCAUCUGGGUAGGUCACCCAUUACAAUGAGACCACACCUCAUAUUUUUUCCAUUUUUGGGUAGGUCACCCAUUACAAUGAUACCAUUUUUUUUUACACAUUCUUUUGUUUCGGUGAAAUGAGGUCGCUAGAUGGGAUCUCAUGUAGCUUUGGUUAAAGGAAAUUGUCAGAUGGGAUUUCAGGUUAACCGAGUUACAUAUAUUUUCAUUACAGACCUUGGUUAUGGUUAAAAGGGAUCGGCAAAGAGAUCUCAGUUUAACCUAAUUGGAAAGGAUUUUUGGUUCUGGUUGAAGGGGAUCGGCGAAGGGAUCUCAGUUCAGUCUAACCACACAGACCUUGGUUAUGGUUAAAGGGGAUCGGCAAAGGGAUCUCAGUUUAACCUAAUUGGAAAGGAUUUUGGUUCUAGUUGAAGGGGAUCGGCGAAGGGAUCUCAGUUCAGUCUAACCACACAGACCUUGGUUAUGGUUAAAGGGGAUCGACGAAGAGAUCUCAGUUUAACCUAAUUGGAAAGGAUUUUUGGUUCUGGUUGAAGGGGAUCGGCGAAGGGAUCUCAGUUCAGUCUAACCACACAGACCUUGGUUAUGGUUAAAGGGGAUCGGCAAAGGGAUCUCAGUUUAACCUAAUUGGAAAGGAUUUUGGUUCUGGUUGAAGGGGAUCGGCGAAGGGAUCUCAGUUCAGUCUAACCACACAGACCUUGGUUAUGGUUAAAGGGGAUCGACGAAGAGAUCUCAGUUUAACCUAAUUGGAAAGGAUUUUUGGUUCUGGUUGAAGGGGAUCGGCGAAGGGAUCUCAGUUCAGUCUAACCACACAGACCUUGGUUAUGGUUAAAGGGGAUCGGUGAAGAGAUCUCAGUUUAACCUAAUUGGAAAGGAUUUUUGGUUCUAGUUGAAGGGGAUCGGCGAAGGGAUCUCAGUUCAGUCUAACCACACAGACCUUGGUUAUGGUUAAAGGGGAUCGGCAAAGGGAUCUCAGUUUAACCUAAUUGGAAAGGAUUUUUGUUCUGGUUGAAGGGGAUCGGCGAAGGGAUCUCAGUUCAGUCUAACCACACAAACCUUGGUUAUGGUUAAAGGGGAUCGGCGAAGAGAUCUCAGUUUAACCUAAUUGGAAAGGAUUUUUGGUUCUGGUUGAAGGGGAUCGGCGAAGGGAUCUCAGUUCAGUCUAACCACACAGACCUUGGUUAUGGUUAAAGGGGAUCGGCGAAGGGAUCUCAGUUUAACCUAAUUGGAAAGGAUUUUUGGUUCUGGUUGAAGGGGAUCGGCGAAGGGAUCUCAGUUCAGUCUAACCACACAGACCUUGGUUAUGGUUAAAGGGGAUCGGCGAAGAGAUCUCAGUUUAACCUUAUUGGAAAGGAUUUUGGUUCUGGUUGAAGGGGAUCGGCGAAGGGAUCUCAGUUCAGUCUAACCACACAGACCUUGGUUAUGGUUAAAGGGGAUCGGCGAAGGGAUCUCAGUUUAACCUAAUUGGAAAGGAUUUAGGUUCUGGUUGAAGGGGAUCGGCGAAAGGAUCUCAGUUCAGCUUAAAGACACAUGAUUUUGGUUCUAGUUAAAGGGGAUCGGCGAAGGGAUCUCAGUUUAGCUUAACCACUCAGAAUUUAGCUUUGGUUAAAGGAAAUCACUAGAUGGGAUUUCAGGUUGACCGAGCUACACUCCGAUUUUUGUUCUUGUUAGAUUGCCAGAUGGGAUCUCAGGUAAACCCAAUCAAAAGGGCAGGUCGCCCGUGAAAAUAGACCAGUGUGAGUGUGUGGGCCGGUCGCCCCUGAAAAUAGACGACUUUGAGUAUGUGUGGGCAGGUCGCCCGUGAAAAUAGACCAUUGUGAGUGUGUGGGCAAGUCGCCCAAGAUAAUGAAAUCAUUUUUCUUUUGUUUUCUUUACAAAGCUUACUAUGCAAAAUUUUGAGGAGUUUUGCUUCGUAAGCAUUGUAAAGAGGGUGCAUCUGUUGCUACCCAUUUUUUGACCCAUGUUUUUGAUAUAUUUUCAAAAAAUCCAAAAAAUAGAGAAAAAACAAUAAAAAUCCAAAAAAUAUGUUUUUAAUAAAUUUUCGUCAUUUUAGCAUUUUCAACGUCGACUAAAAAAAAAUUUAAAUUUUUAAAAGAUUUUCAAACGCGUCCGACUUUUCAUGCGUCAUUUUUAAAUCAUUGAUUUUCCUCAUUGAGUCGACGUUGAUAUUGCUCGUUUUCAAAAAAAUACAAAAAAAUAAGAAAAAUCAAAAUUUACAAAAAGAAAGAAGUUGAGGGAUCAAGUUGAAAAACCUAGCAAAAGUUUUCCUAUAAAUACCAUGCUACACUGAUUUUUUAGGGGGGGUAAUUUUGAGAACAUCAGAAAAAAUACAAAACCUAAACCUAAACCCAUUUUUUUAGGGCAGUCGUCAGCCCCCACCGGGGAUUUUUUUUUCUCCUCUCUCAAUCGGCUGCCAGCCUCUUUUCUCCGGCCAUCACCCACCUCUCCUUCAUUUUUUUUUUGGCAUCUCCCCUGCACAAGCAGCCGCAACCCCCCCACCUUUGAUUUUUCUCUUCUCCCUUAAACCGGCCUAAACAGCAGCCCCCGCUGGAAUCUUCAUCUUCUUCCUCAGCCCUUGCACAGCCCACCGUCCCUCUCCUCUCUCAGCCACAAACCGAACAGCGCCCCAUGGCCUCGUUUGUUCUCCAGCCGCCGCGAGACAAAUCUUCCCCUCUCAGCCGUUUCUUCUCCAACCGGCCGGACACUCUCUCCCUCACUGCAAACUGUCAGCCUUUCCCUCUCCAGCCGCCUCUCACUCGGCAAAGAAACCAGCCGCCCCUCCCAUCUCCUAUUGGUCUCUCCAUCUUCUUGGCAUAGGAAAGAACCAACCGGACCGGCCUCCACUGAAACCCUUCAGCAACCGGCCCGCCUCCGACUCAAACUCGUGUAGCAGAUCUCGACCGAGAUCCAGCCGCAACGGCGCCGUCCGAAGAUCCAGCAACCAGCAGAGCCACGCCUCCCCCCCUGCGCCUCUGUCAUCCGGCCAUAGAUGCCCUGAACUCAGAGCCAGCGACCGCCUAUAAAGGAGGAGAUCUGUAGUGGAAACAGAUUUGAAUGGAAGGUAGAAGGGAGCCGAUUUGAAAACCAAAUUAAAACAGAUUUGCUUGUUGCGAUUUUUGGGUGAUUUGCAGGUAACGGCGUUGCUCACAGCCGGCUGGAGGGUGAAGAGGGAAGGAAGCCAUUACGGAUCUCCCCACUCCUCUGGAUUUCGCGGCGGCGCGUGGGAGAACGCGUCGCCACUGUUCAUUCCGUGUCAGAAGGCCUUCAAUGCAAUUUCGGGAGUUUUAUGGACUAUUUUGUAAUUUUGAAAUUAAUUAAUGUAAUGUUUAUUUAUUUUAUUUGAUUUUGAAAUUUGUAUUUGUAUUGUGGAUGUAAAAGAAAAGAAAAAGAAAAGAAAUAAAAAAAAUAGUGAAAGUGUAUGUGUUGUUUGUAUUUGUUUUAUUUUUUAUAUAUAUUUUUUUAAUGAUAAAAUUGCAGAUAUUAAAGAAGAAUUUAAUAUUUUGAUUGUAUCACGGUUAAGAAUUAUUAACUUAUACGUAAGUGAUAUUUCUAAUUUCCGAUGAAAAGACAAUUAUUAAAACUUCUUUAACACAUCAAAUCCGCGAAGCAGCUUACCUCAAGUAGGGUGCGUUAGGGGUGCUAAUACCUUCCCUAACCACAACCAGUCCCUUACCCACGAAUCUCUGACAAGACCAGUACAUCCGGUUUCCUAGUAGCUCGCAAUCAAUUACUAGGUGGCGACUCCAAAGAACCAAAUCAGCAAAACAACAACGAUAAAAAUCGCCAGCCGAUGCCGCGCGCCGUAUUUUUUUGGGGUGCGACAAGAAGAAUCUUUUCAAUUAUUGUGACAUCCUUCAUCCUGUCACCAUGGAUUCACCUCUUAUUUGCGAUUGCAAGAGUUCUUGAAAAAUAGUCAUUGACCGACUCUCUUGUUUUCAUGUAAAGAGUCUCAAACUCUUUGCGAAGAGCUUGAAGCUGCACCCUUUUCACCUUUGCUGAGCCUUGAUACUUUUUUUUCAUAGAAUCCCAGAUCUGCUUAGAAGUCUCUUUGUGAAGAAUAGUCUCCAGAAUUGCACCAUCAAUAGCUUGGAAUAAAUAAUUUUUGGCUUUAAGAUCCUUCAACUUUUGAUCCUCUAGUGUUCUUGUUUGUGCUUCUAUCAUUGCACCUCCACUAGCUGGUUCAACAAUGCCAUGUUCUACAAGACUCCAAUACUCUUUCGACCUCAGAAAAUUCUCCAUCAACAUACUCCAAUGAUCAUAGUGACCUUCGAAACGUGGAAUUGCAGGUUGCACAUAGUUGUUCUCAUAGGCCAUCGAAUCCUGCUGCUGCAAGAAAAAAAGCUGUUGCUUUCUCAAAUCAGAUACCCCCAAUGAAGGCUUUGAUACCACUUGUUAUAAACUGAAAGCUUUAUUCAGUGUAUAACGUAGAUAGAUAUGUGGAUUCUCCUAAGGAAUAGGUAAAAACAACUAAUUUCCUAAUAUCUAGGAAUUUAUUAUGAAAACAACCAAAUAAAAACUCUUAACAAUUGAGGGGUUGCCAGAGCCCGCUCCAAAGGAAGGAACAAAACCAAUUCUUCUAUUUCCAACAUCAACUGGCAUGGCUGCUUGGUUUGCUGGUGAGCCACCACGGAUUUCAAAGGGACCAGAAUUCGAGCUGUUUUGUCUUGCCGGCAAUAUAUCCUCCCGAGGCCCUGGAGUUGAGGGAGUGAAAACCAUCCAAUCUGUUGGUGGGAGAAACCACUAGUGGUGGCUUUGAAACACUCAGAGGGGAUAAAAACACACUGUUUUAUUACAAAAUCCGAAGCUUACAAUUACACAACAAAAGCUUAAACAAUUACACGCCACACAUAUAACAUAAGCUGGGCACUCUAUUUAUACACAAAUCAAAAUACGAAAAUUCAACCUUCAAGUGUGAAGGCGGCUAGCGGCAGCAGGUGUGAAGGCGGCUGGCGGCUGCGGCUGGUGGUUGGCGGCUGGUCGGUGGCGGCUGGUCGGUGGCAGCUAGUGGUUGCCUUCCUUGACCAUUUGGGAGCUUCUGGAUUGAGUUUAUUCAAUAAAUCUCUCCUUUAAACUCAAUCGAGGGAUGUCAUGCCAAGCAUGAAUACUUCUCCCUUCAAUGCCUUAUUUUUGCUUGUACCCUUUAUCCACUAAUUUGGCUUUCGUCUUGUAGACCCUUUUGACACCUAUUGCUUUCUUCUUUUCUGGUGGUAAGUCAGCUUCAAGGUAUCAUUCUUCUCAAUGGCAUGUAUUUCUUCAUCCAUUGCUUUAAUCCAUUUCUUUCUGUGACAGCUUUAUUUAAGCUUAAUGGGUCACUAUCUGCAUGAAAACAAAACAGAGUUGUAUCUUCCAUAACCUGAGUGGUAUCGUACAACUCUUCAAGAUUCCGCAUCUUUCUUGGUCCUUCUGAUGAGGAUGCUGAUGUGGUGUUGAUGAUGAUGCUCCUGGUGUGUUCCUCCUGUUGAAUACAGGAAAUCUGUGUACCGGACUUUGUGGUUCAGCUGCUGGUAUAAACACUGGACUUUGUGGUUCAGCUGCUGGCACAAUCAGUUCUUCUACAAGUACUGUUGGUACUUCUUCACCUUCAAGGAUCAAAUCAAGAUUGAUCCAUUUGAUUGCUUCUUGAUCACCAUUCAUUCCCAAGAUUUAUCUUCUUCAAAGAUAACAUCUCUACUUGUGAUUACUUUCUUCGUGAUAGGAUUAUACAGCCUGUAUCCCAUCCUUCUUUCACCAUAUCCGACAAAGAUGCAUUUCUCGCUCUUAUCAUCGAGCUUUCUCCUUCUUGCAUCUGGGAUCUUUGCAUAUGCCACACAACCAAAGACUCGUAGAUGAGUAACACUUGGUUUGUGACCACUCCAUGCUUCUUCUGGAGUGACUCCUUGCAAACUUCUGGUCGGGCAGCGAUUCAACAGAUACACUGCACAUGAUACAGCUUCAGCCCAGUAUUGCUUGGGCAGCUUCUUUGCUUUGAGCAAACUUCUAGCCAUGUCAAGAAUCGUGCGAUUCUUCCUUUCUGCUACACCGUUCAGCUGUGGUGUAUAAGCUGGUGUUGUCUGAUGUCUGAUGCCUUGUUGUGUACAAUAGGCUUCAAAGUCAUUGGCUGUAUAUUCUCCACCUUGAUCAGAUCUCACUGUUCUGAUCGUAUAACCAGUUUGCUUCUCCACAAUUGCUUUAAAAUCUUUAAAACAAUUGAAUACUUCUGACUUCCUCUUCAAAAGUAUAUCCACGUCUUUCUACUAAAAUCAUCAGUAAAAGUGAGGAAGUACCUAUUUUGUCCAGUCGACAUAGGCGUAUUGGGCCACACACAUCUGUGUGUACUAACUCCAGUGGCCUCUUUGCUCUCCAGUUGACUUCUUUGGCAAAACUGGAUCUGUGAUGUUUGCUGAGGACACAACUUCACAGACUUCAUCUGGAUGAUCAAUGUGAGGCAAACCUUUGACCAUCUUCUUGCUUGCUAGCAUCUUCAACUUGUGAAAUUCAGAUGUCCAAGCCUCAGGUGCCAAAGCCAUUCUUCACUGUUGGUGAUGGCACUCAAACACCUUGUUGCAUCAUACUGGAUGUUCAAAGGAAACAUCCUAUUCUUGGACAUUUUCACGUAGGCCAUUAAUCUCCCAUUGUUGUCUCUAAUUGUCAGAUGACAAUUCUUCGAGUAAAAACUAUAUCCUCUCUCCAAAAGUUGACCUAAGCUGAUCAGGUUCUGCUUUAUGGCUGGGACAUAAUACACAUCGGCGAUGUAGCUGGAAUCGCCAUUCUUCAACUUGACUGGAUGCUGCCUUUACCUUUGAAUGGAACCUUUGUGGUAUCUCCAAAAGUAACUAGACCUUGCUUGGUCUCAUCUAGAUCACCAAAUAACUCUCGGUAGCCGCACAUGUGAUUGCUGGCUCCAGUAUCUAGAUACCAUAUAUUUUCUUGUUUCUCGCCAAGUUCUUGUUGGACAAGAAAUGCAGAUGCUUCUCUGUCAUCCUUAUCUACAAAGUUGGCUUGCUCACGUAUCUCUAACGGAGCUUUCCAUCGGCAUUCAGUGUUAUAGUGCCCAAAUUGAUUGCAGCUAUAACAUUUGAUAUUUCUCUUGUCACGGUUAUUGUAACCGCCUCCUCUUCCUCUGGGAGUGAAUGCUUGUUGUCCUCGGCCUCCUCUGGUGGUGUUUCUGCCACCUCUUCCUCUAAAGCUUGUAUUCCAAGAACCUCUUCCUUGGAAUUGCUGGAAUCCUCCUCUGGAUUGUUGACUUCCUCCUUGAGUGGUGUAGCCACUUGAUGAAGUCUCCCCUUGCUCAUAUCUGUCUUUGAGAGACAGCUUUGCUUGUAAGGCAUGCUCGAUGGCCUUAUCUUCAUUUCGCUUUACUAUCUUCUGCUCAUGAGCUUGCAAAGAACUCAUAAGCUCAUCCACUGUCAACUUGUCCACUUCCUUGGACUCUUCAAUUGCGACAACAACAAAAUCAAAUUUUGGAUCUAGGGAUCUCAAAAUUUUUUCAGUAAUUCGAGAGUCGAUGAGGGCUUCUCCAUUUCUUCUCAUAUGAUUGACUAUCACCAUAAUCCUUGUGUGAUAAUCAGAAAUAGACUCCGAGGACUUCAUUUGUAAUAACUCAAAUUCUCCUCGUAAAGAUUGAAGACGAAUCUUCUUGAUUCUGUCAGCACCUUUGUAUUUCUGUUGGAGAGCCUCUCAUAUGUCAUGUGAUGUUUCAGCGGAAGCUAUUAUCUCGAAUGUAUCUUCAUCAAGACCUUGAUAGAUGAUGGUCUUUGCCUUGUUGUCUUUAUUUCUGUUGACUUUAAGGACUUGCUUCUAUGCCUCUUGUAAAGCAUCUUUUCUUUCUUUGGACUCUAGUUCAUCAUAACCAGUUUGUACAAUAUCCAAACACUCUUGUGACCCAAGGAAUGCCUUCAAUCUGAUGCACCAACUAUCAUAGUUGUCUUUCGUCAGCUUCGGGAUGAGUGUAUGUGUACCUUCUGUAGUCAUUUUUCUCUUUGAAUGACUAUGGAAACGCGGCUCGGCUCGACGAGGAGUACGGCGCGGCUUGUGGCUCAGCUAGACUCGGCUUGCGGCUUGGCUUGGACUCGGCGUGCACAUCAGUCGUCUUCAACCUCUGCCGCGCGUGGGCUGCGCGUGGUCGUCUGUGCAAAAUCUUCAGGCGGCGCGUGGGGCUCAUCGCGGUCUCUGAUCAGGCUGAUUCUUGCGACAGUGAGCUCGUCUUGAUGAGCUCUACACUGUGGAAUGAUCAAAACUUGUUUUUGACAACUUUGAAAAUUCGGAUAUACCCCAAAACACUUCUGUUUUCCGACGAACGGGGCUCUGAUACCAAUUGUUGGUGGGAGAAACCACUAGUGGUGGCUUUGAAACACCCAAAGCACUCAAAGGGGAUAAAACACACUGUUUUAUUACAAAAUCUGAAGCUUACAAUUACACAACAAAAGCUUAAACAAUUACACGCCCUCUCUCUCUCUUUCUCUUUCUAGUGUUCCUCUCAAUUCUCUCCACACAUAUAACAUAAGCUGGGCACUCUAUUUAUACACAAAUCAAAAUACAAAAAUUCAACCUUCCAUGAAUAUUAAAUUGAGAUUAAAUUAUCUAUUUUUUAUUUUAAUAAUAGUUUUUUACAUGUUUUUCUCAUCACAUAAAUAAAUAAUUGAGUCAUGAUAAUUUUUUAUGUUUAUAAUCAAAAGUUGCUUUUCAAAUCAUUAUAAACUUUUAUUAAAAAACAAUGCUUUUUAUAUAUAAUAAAAAACAUGUUUUCAUCAAAAUAAGACAAAAAAAUACAUUUUUCCUCCUAACUUCAAGUGAUUUAAAUUUUAAUGAAUAUUUAUUUUAGUUUUUUUCUCAAAAAAACAUGCUACUAAAAAAGACAUAAUUUUGCUAAAAUAAAAUAAAAAUGUAUGAAUAAGGUAGGAAAAAAUUGAUGCCCGAAUUGAUAUCAAUCACAUCUCUUGGAAAUAAAAAAUCAUGAAUCAUAAUUAAAUGAGCGCAAUUGAUAGCUUCAAAAGAUCAAGACAUAAUCACUUCGUUAGUGCUUUUGCUUAUAAUUUAUUAUAUUAUUAUGAUUCUGGUAAAAUCAUUAACUUACAAUGACAUAAAUCCAUCGAUUAAAAAAAAUUACAAACACACGACGAAAAAAAAAUAAAAAGCAGUUGCACUCGCCUGGAAGAUGAUCCCCUCUUCUUGACUGCUGCCAUUAUUGACCUAGUCCACAAAGCAAGUUAAUUAACUAAACUGGUGAUGGAUCAUGGAAAAAAAUAUUUGCGCUAGUAGUUAAAAGCAUUAUCAAGACUUACCUUCUCACACCGCCAUGAGUAGCUUGCUAGUAUCGUCUUCCACCAUUUCUAGGAGCAUUCUUCCUUCUAAGCCUUUUUGCAUUUUGAUGUGCACUGUCUUCAACCAUCUUCACAAACCAUGCAGGUUUUCUUGCUCUAAAUACAACAUAUCCUAUAGAGACUCCAAAUACAAAUCCACAUCCAUAACCCAUUGCUACAGCUUUCCAUCCAAAUCCCUCUUCAAACAUUGAGUCUUCUUUCUGGAAGUUCAAUGGUGGCUGUUGUUGCCCCUCGCGUUUGUUGCAUGUUACCUGCAAGGGAAAUCCACAUAAUCCCAAGUUCCCCUCGUAUGAACAAUUUUCAAAUGUGUGGAACUGCUUACCUUGAGGUAUGGGUCCCUCAAGUUGGUUAUACGAAAGGUUGAGGACUUCAAGAAAUUUUAAAUCUACCAGUUGCUGAGGAAUCCUUCCAGCAAGCAGAUUUGAGGAGAGAUCUAACGAUUCCAGAUUAGUUAAAUUCCCCAGUGAUGGCUGGAUAUAACCGAUGAGGCUGUUGUGAGAAAGGUUGAGCUGUAUCAGAGAUUUAAGCUUCCCAAGGGACUCUGGAAUCUUUCCCGUGAAUUUAUUGCAGGAUAAAUCAAGUGUUGCGAGGGCAAUUUGAAUUUUAGAAAACUCCAUCUCCGAACCUUUCCAUGCCAAAGUUACAGAAUAAACAUAAUAAGUAGAUAUAUGUUUUGGCCUCAUGUAAUCCAUAUCCUGUGCAACGCUCAUCAUGGCUUUGAAGUUGUUGAAAUACUCUGUUGGCAAAGGACCACUCAAGCUGUUGUUGGAGAGGUCAAAUAUCUGUAAUUUAGAAAAAGAGUCCUUGACAGUUGGACCCUUCAAAGAACCAUGGAGUUUAUUUGACCUUAGAACAACAACCUCCAACUUGGGAAGCUUUUCUAAAAAGGAAGGGAAUGUGUCAUCAAUCAUGUUGUUACCGAGAUCCAGAAAUUCUAAAUUCACACAAUUGAUGAUGGAUGGUGGUAUCACCCCUUUCAAUUUGUUGCCAUUGAAGUUGAGAUAACUCAAACUGUUCCCCUUUGAAUAGAUUGAAGGGAUAUUGCCGUGGAGAUUGUUGGCACCAAGAUGCAACACUGAGAGUCCAUCACUGAAGUUUCCCAAGCAUUGCGGGAUGAAUCCACUAAAGCUAUUGUUGGACAAGUCUAGAAUCUCUAGGAACUUCAGCUCGCAAAUGACAGAGGAGAUGUUCCCAGUCAGUUUAUCAUUGGAGGAAAGCAUAAGAGCUGUCAAAUGCUCAAGCUUGAAAACUGAAGGUGGAAUCUGGCCAUACAACCUGUUGUGACUGAAAUCGAUAUAUUGUAAUGAAUUACAAUGGAACGGAAUCUGGCCAUACAGUAGGUUAUUGUGAAGGAAAAGAACCCUCAAAGAAGGCAUAGAAAACAAGGAGGAUGGAAUUGUUCCAUUGAGUAAGUUAUGAGACAAGUCGAGAUAGUUUAAACCUGAAAGCCUUCUUAUUUGUGAUGGGAUGCUUCCUAUCAGCUGAUUAUUAGAUAAGCUGAGAUAGUUUAAACCUGAAAGCCUACUUAUUUGUGAUGAGAUGCGUCCUAUCAGUAUAUUGUUUGAGAGGUCCAAGAAAGUGAGUUGGGUGAGGUUAAAAAAACCAUCUGGAAUUUGACCAUUAAACCUGUUGUUUGAGAGGUCCAAUGUAUUGAGAUGUAUGAGGUUAAAAAAAUCAUCCGGAAUUUUACCAGAAAAAUUAUUAAAAGAAAGCCUCAAGAUAUAUAGCUUCUUAAGGUUUCUAAAUGAGAAUGGAAUUUGACCACCAAACCUGUUGUUUGAGAGUUCCAACGAAGUGAGCUGUGUGAGGUUAGAAAAACUAUCUGGAAUUUGACCAUCAAACCUGUUGUUUGAGAGGUCCAACGAAGUGAGCUGUGUGAGGUUAGAAAAACUAUCUGGAAUUUGACCAUCAAACCUGUUGUUUGAGAGGUCCAACGAAGUGAGCUGUGUGAGCUUAGAAAAACUAUCUGGAAUUUGACCAUCAAACCUGUUGUUUGUGAGGUCCAACGAAGUGAGCUGUGUGAGGUUAAAAAAAGCAUCCAGAAUUUUACCAGAAAAAUUAUUGGAAGAAAGUAUCAAGAAAUCUAGCUUUUUAAGGUUUCUAAAUGAGAAUGGAAUUUGACCAUCAAACAUAUUGUUUGAGAGGUCCAAUUGAGUAAGUAGUGUGAGGUUAAAAAAACUAUCCGGAAUUUUACCAGAAAAAUUAUUAAAAGAAAGUGUCAAGGAAUUUAGCAUCUUAAGGUUUCUAAGUGAGGAUGAAAUCUGGCCAUCAAACUUGUUGUGUGAGAGAUCCAACUCAGUAAGUUGUGUGAGAUUAAAAAAACUAUCCGGAAUUUUACCAGAAAAAUUAUUGAAAGAAAGUAUCAAGAAAUCUAGUUUCUUAAGGUUUCCAAGUGAUAAUGGAAUCUGACCAUCAAAAUUGUUACCUAAAAGUUCCAAAAAAGCAAGUAGAGUGAGGUUGGAAAACUCAUUCAGAAUUUUUCCAGUAAAAUUAUUGUCUGUGAGAAACAAGUGACUGAGCUGCUUAAGGUUUCUAAGUGAGACUGGGAGAUGACCUUGAAAAUUGUUAUUUGAGAGGUCCAACCACGCCAAUUGCGUUUGAUUAACAAAAACAUCAGGAAUUGGACCAAUAAAAUUAUUGUAUCCAAGAUCCAGGUACUCGAGAUGCUUAAGUUUUCCAAACGAGAAAGGAAUUUGACCACCAAACUGGUUACCUGCAAGUCUCAACUCAAUGAGUUGCGUGAGGUUACCAAGUAGACCAAGAUUCGAGCCAACAAAAUUGCACCAGUUAAGAUACAUCACUUCCACAGACUUCAGUUGACUGAUUGAAUGUGGUUCCAAAUGUAUUGAAAUCCGCGUCUGUGACAGAUCCAAAUGCGAAAUAGCAUUGCUCAAAUUGUAUGGCGGAAAAGAGCCAGUGAGUUCUCCGUUGCUCGAUAAAUCGAGCGAUUGAAGGUUUGAUCGGCGAAAGAAAUUAUCAGGGAGUUCCCCUUUCAAUCCACAAUACCAGAGUCGGAGAGAUGACAAAGAAGAAGACAAGUUCAUCAAGGAACUGGGUACCACCAAAGACAUGUCCACUCCACCCAAGUAGAGUUCUCUCAGCUGGGUAAGGUUCUGAGCAAGCUUGUUGAAAGAAAUCGGUUCCAGCAUCAGCCCCUCAGUGUUGUAAGAGAGAUCAAGUGACACCAAUCUGGAUAAAUGGGAGAUUUCUGGAGGAACUUGGCCUGCAAAAUUCGAUGAAUUUAGAUUUAAAUGCGUCAAAUGCAGGAACUGACCAAAGGAAGAUGAAAUGAUAGAGCGAUUGAAGUCAUUGCGAGAGAGAUCGAGCUUCUGAAGAUGAUGAAGGGAGAAGAGAGUGCUGUUAGAAUGGAGGGUGCCAUAAAGCAUGCUGCAACCAAGGUCUAGGCCAAUUACAUGGCCAGUUUGCAUGUUGCAUGUCACGCCAUCCCAAGAGCAGCAAUCUGUACCCUCUUUCCACAGCACUCUCUUGGGUAGAUAACAUGAAAAUCCAUAUGGAGAAGAAGGCAUCAUGGAAAAGGAGUUUUUGAAUUGGAGCAAAGCCAGGCUCUGGUCACCGGGGCAUAAUUGUACUGAAGAGGAGAAAUUGGAAGAAGAAUGAGCAGGUUGGGAGUGCGAAUGGAAGAAAAGAAGGCAGAGAAAUUGAGCGAGCAACAAUGAAGAUCCCAUCAUUCCCUAAAAGUGCUCUUCUUAGAGAUGAAAAUGUGG